UCAUUGAGAGAGAGACAUGAACGCAUAUCUUAAUUACCAGAUCCAUAUAUAUAUAUAUAUAUAUAUAAUAUAUAUAUAUAUAUAAACCAGCACUGGUGCUUAUUAUUAGUCGCCCUUGUUUUACACUUGGUACGGUCUCCUAUAUAUAGUUCUACUAUAUAGCGGCACAUGAAUCACAGAAACGGAGCGUAGGGAGGAGCAAAAAAAAAGAAGAUGAGGAAUUACAGUGGUGAAUAAAUAAAUAAAAUUGAAAAUUACUGCAGUGCACAUGAAGCCAGCCAGUGUAGUCACUGCCUUCGGAGUGUGAAAGACAGCGCAUUUACCGGCAGAUCUACCUCGCAUUCUCACCGUCGUCCUCCUCACCACAGCAGGAGCCCAGAGAGCGCGAGCAGCAGCAGUGUAGUCGCCGCGGAGGACGACGAGACGGCCGGCGACGAGCUCUUGGCCGUGUGCUGGGGCGGCGGGCUAUAGUAGUAGAAGGGGAAGUAGGGCAGGAACGGGUUGGGCGGCGGCGGCGUCGGGUACGCACCGCCUCCGCCUCCACCUUGUCCUCCUUGGCCGCCGCCGCCGCCUCCUCCGUACCCGCCGGUGGGCGGAGGGUAGAAGUAGCCACCGCCGCCGCCGGAGGGAGCGGGGUAGGAAGUGGGAGGCGGUAAUACAGGCGCCGCGGGGGUGACCGGAGCCGGAGGAGGUGGCGAGGGGUAGCUGUACCCCGGGGUGGGGUUGCAGGGGUUGCCGCAGGAGGCGCAGAGCGUGCAGGUCGUGCCGUCCUUGCGCACGAUGGUCACGCCGGCGUCCUCCUCGGCGCCGGCCACCCGCGCCGCAUCGGGGAGCAGCGCGGAGAGGAGGAGCAGGAGCAGGAGGAGGACCGGUGGGUGGGGAGCCAUGGCCAUGUGGGGGUGGGGGUGGGAGUGGGAGAGGUUGGUGAUGGGGAUGGGAGUGGGAGCUCGAGUGGAAGUGAGUGAGGGAGGGAGUGGAGCUGACUGUCUCGGGGAGCGGUACUUAAUCUUCCAGUGGGCAGCAGCGGAAAGGGAAGCGGGGCGGCGUUUGUCGGCCUUCCAGAUCGACGGCGGAUCCGUGGACGGCAGGGCGCCACGCCCGCGCGUCGUGGCGUGGCCGGAAGCUGCGCUGCGCUGUCCGUCCGUCGGGGAGGGAAGCGGUCUGCGGUGGGUUUUGGUGUGGCGCAGUAGGUAGUGGAGCGGAGCGCGUGGGCCGCGUUGGCCUGCCGCUGGAGGCCGUUGUCGGUAGCUCACGGCUCGGGUUGGGGGCAGGUCGGGAGUGGUUUCCCCGAGAGGCGAAAGGGGAAAUGGCUUGUGCACGUUGCCAUUAUCAUGUACUCAUAAGACAGCAAGAACUGAUGUACAAUGUGAUGUUUCCUUGUCCUAGCCCUAGCUCUCAUAACUAGAUAUUCCUAAAUAUAUGCUGAAACAUAUUAUUUAAGAGAUCAUAUCUUUAUUAUCGCAAUAUCUANNNNNNNNNNNNNNNNNNNNNNNNNNNNNNNNNNNNNNNNNNNNNNNNNNNNNNNNNNNNNNNNNNNNNNNNNNNNNNNNNNNNNNNNNNNNNNNNNNNNGGAGUUAGUCACAUGAUCUUGUAUUACGAAACGAGCAAAGAUACUUUCCGGUAACGAGAUUGAAAUACGUAUGGAGAUACCGACGACCGAAUCUCGGGCAAGUAACAUACCGAAGGACAAAGGGAAUGGUAUAUGGGAUUAACUGAAUCCUUGACAUAGAGGUUCAACCGAUAGAGAUCUUCGUAGAAUAUGUAGGAGCCAAUAUGGACAUCCAGGUCCCGCUAUUGGUUAUUGACCGGGGAGUGUCUAAGGUCAUGUCUGCAUAGUUCUCGAACCCACAGGGUCUGCACACUUAAGGUUCCGUGACGUUUCGGUAUAGUUGAGUUAUAGGUGUUGGUAACCGAAGUUUUGUUGGGAGUCCCGGAUGUGACGAGGAGUAACGGAAUGGUCCGAAAACGAAGAUUGAUAUAUAGGAAGUUGGUAUUUGGAUUUCGGAAGGAUUCCGGGCAUUACCGAUAGUGUAUCGAGAAUGACGAAUGGGUACCGGGGGCCCACCAGGUGGGCCCACCACUCCCCAAGAAGGCCACAUGGACUUGAUGGUGGCGCAGUAGCUCUUGAUAGGCUGACUAGUCAACCAAAGAAAGCCCAUGAGGUAAAAAGUGGAAAAACCAAAAGAGGUGGACAACUUGGGGAGGAGUCCUACUCCAAGUAGGAUUGGAGGAGGACUCCUCCUCUCCUAGUUCGGCCGAGCCAAGGGAAGGCUCCCUUGGUGGGCAAGCCUAGCCCUUCCUUCCUCUUAUAUAUACUAGAGGUUUGAGGGUUUUUGAGACACAAUUUCAGCCACGUGCUACCCUCUCCUCUAGUUUGUAGUUCUUCCUCUAGAUCGGAUUUCUGCGGUGCUUAGGCAAAGCCCUGCAAGAAUAGAUCACCACCAUCACCGGCGCGCUGUCACACUGCCGAAGAACUCAUCUACCUCUCCGCCCUCUUGCUGGAUCAAGAAGACGGAAAUCGUCAUCGCACUACACGUGUGCUGAACACGGAGGUGCCGUCCAUUCGGCACUAGAUCGGGAUGGAUCGUGAUGGGAUCGUUGGACGGAUCGUGAUGAGAUCGCGAGACGGGCUGCAAUUUCGAUCGCGAAGAUGUUCCACUACAUCAACCACGUUAUAUACACUUCCGCUUAGCGAUCUGCAAGGGUAUGUAGAUUCACUCUCCCCUCUCGUAGAUGAUCAUCAUCAUGGAUAGGUAUUGCAUGUGCAUAGAUUUUUUUUGUUUCCCAUGCAACGUUCCUCAACAAUGGCAUCAUGAGCUAGGUUCAUGCGUAGAUGAAAUCUCGAGUAGAACACAAGAGAGUUUGUGGGCGUUGAUGUUCGAUUUUCUGCCCUCCUUAGUCUUUUCUCGAUUCGGGGGUAUUGUUGGAUUGAAGCGGCCCGGACCAACCUUACUCAUAUGCUUACGAGAGACCGGUUUCAUCGACUAACAUGCAACUUGUUGCAUAAAGAUGACUGGCGGGUGUUUGUUUCUUCAACUUUAGUUGAAUCAGAUUUGACCGAGGCGGUCCUUGGAGAAGGUUAAAUAGCAAUUUGCAUAUCACCGUUGUGGCUUUGCGUAAGUAAGAUGCGAUCAUACUAGAUACCCAUAGCAGCCACAUAAAAUAUGCAACAACAAAUUAGAGGACGUCUAACUUGUUUUGUAGGGUAUGAAUGUGAUGUGAUAUGGCCAAAGACAUGAUGUGAUAUAUUGGAUGUAUGAGAUGAUCAUGUUGUAAUAGUUAAAUAUCGACUUGCACGUCGAUGCUACGACAACCGACAGGAGCCAUAGGAUUCUCUUUAAACUAAUGUUUGUACUUGCAGAUGCGUUUACUAUAUUGCUAGGUAGUAGGUUUAGUAGUAAUAGCAUAGAUAGCACGACAACCUCGAUGGCGGCACGAUGAUGGAGAUCAUGGUGUGGCACCGGUGAUGAUGAAGAUCAUGCCGGUGCUUUGGUGAUCGAGAUCAAGAAGCACAAGAUCAUGGCCAUAUCAUGUCACUUAUAAUUUGCAUGUGAUGUUAAUCCUUUUAUGCACCUUAUCUUGCUUAGAACGACGGUAGCAUUAUAAGGUGAUCCCUCACUAAAAUUUCAAGAUAAAAUUGUGUUCUCCCCGACUGUGCACCGUUGCGACAGUUCGUCGUUUCGAGACAUCAUGUGAUGAUCGGGUGUGAUAGACUCAACGUUCACAUACAACGGGUGCAAAACAGUUGCACACGCGGAACACUCGGGUUAAACUUGAUGAGCCUAGCAUGUAUAGACAUGGCCUCGGAACACAAGAGACCGAAAGGUCGGGCAUAAAUCAUAUGGUAGAUAUGAUCAACAUGGAAAUGUUCACCACUGAAACUAUACUCAACUCACGUGAUGAUUGGACUUGAGUUAGUGAAUUUAGAUCAUGCCACACUCAAAUAACUAGAGGGAUGUCUAUUUGAGUGGGAUUUUAUUAGUAAUAUGAUUAGCUAAACUCAAAUUGUCUUAAACAUAGUCUAAGUAAUCUUUGCAAAAUUUUAUGUUGUAGAUCAAUGGCUCGCGCAGUAGCAACCCUGAAUUUCAAUACGAUCCUAGAGAAAGCUAAGUUGAAAGAUGAUGGUAGCAACUUUGUAGACUGAGCUCGAAAUAUGAGGCUUAUCCUUCAAGCUGGGCAAAAGAAUUAUGUUCUUGAUGCAACACUAGGAGAUGAACCACCCGCUAUGGCUGACCAAGAUGUUUCGAACGCUUGACAAGCUCGUAAGGAUGACUACUCAUUAGUUCAAUGUGCAGUUUUGUAUGGCUUAGAACCGGGACUUCAACGACGUUUUGAACGUCAUGGAGCAUAUGAGAUGUUCCAGGAGUUGAAGUUUAUCUUUGAGAAGAAUGCCCGGAUCGAGAGGUAUGAGACCUCCGAUAAAUUCUAUGCUUGCAAAAUGGAGGAGAAUUCGUCUGUCAGUGAACAUGUGCUCAAAAUGUCUGCUUACUCAAACCGUCUACCUGAGCCGGGGAUYGWWCUCCCGCAAGAAGCUAUCACUGACAGAAUCCUUCAAUCACUGCCGCCAAGCUAUAAAGGCUUUGUGUUGAACUACAACAUGCAAGGGAUGAAUAAGUCUCCCGGCGAGUUGUUUGCGAUGCUGAAAGUCGCAGAGUCUGAACUCCGUAAAGAGCAUCAAGUGUUGAUGGUGAGCAAGACCACUAGUUUCAAGAGAAACGGCAAAGGCAAGAAGGGCAAUUCGAAGAAGAGCGGCAAGCCUGUUGCCAAUCCGCCGAAGAAACCCAAGGCUGGACCUAAUCCUGAAACAGAGUGCUUCUAUUGCAAGGGUAUGGGUCACUGGAAGCGCAAUUGCCCCAUGUAUCUGGCAGAUAAGAAGGCGGGCAAAGAAAAAUCAGGUAUAUUUGAUAUACAUGUUAUUGAUGUGUACUUAACCGGCUCUCGUAGUAGUGCCUGGGUAUUCAAUACCGGUUCUGUUGCUCAUAUUUGCAACUCGAAGCAGGAACUGCGGAAUAGACGAAGGCUGGCGAAAGACGAAGUGACGAUGCGCGUAGGAAACGGUUCCAAGGUUGAUGCAAUCGCCGUCGGCACAGUGUCACUUCAGCUACCAUCGGGAUUAGUGAUGAACUUAAAUCAUUGUUAUUUAGUGCCUGCGUUGAGCAUGAACAUUAUAUCUGGAUCUUGUUUAUUGCGAGACGGUUACUCUUUUAAGUCUGAGAAUAAUGGUUGUUCUAUUUCUAUGAGUAACAUCUUUUAUGGUCAUGCACCGAAUGUGAGAGGAUUGUUCAUAUUGAAUCUUGAUAGCGAUACGCAUAUACAUAACAUUGAGACCAAAAGAGUUAGAGUAAACAAUGAUAGCGCCAUAUUUUUGUGGCAUUGCCGCUUAGGUCAUAUUGGUGUAAAGCGCAUGAAGAAACUCCAUGCUGAUGGACUUUUGGAGUCACUUGACUUUGAUUCACUUGACACGUGCGAACCAUGCCUCAUGGGCAAGAUGACUAAGACUCCGUUCUCCGGAAAAAUGGAGCGUGCAAGUGACUUAUUGGAAAUCAUACAUACCGAUGUGUGUGGUCCAAUGAGCGUGGAAGCACGCGGCGGAUAUCGUUAUUUUCUCACCUUCACUGACGAUUUGAGUAGGUAUGGUUAUGUCUACUUUAUGAAGCACAAGUCUGAAACAUUUGAAAAGUUCAAGCAAUUUAAGAGUGAAGUGGAAAAUCAUCGUAACAAGAAGAUCAAGUUCCUACGGUCUGAUCGUGGGGGUGAAUAUCUGAGUUUCGAGUUUGGUGAUCACUUAAGAAAAUGUGGAAUUGUUUCACAGUUGACACCACCUGGAACACCACAGCGUAAUGGUGUGUCCGAACGUCGUAAUCGUACUUUGUUAGAGAUGGUGCGAUCUAUGAUGUCUCUUACUGAUUUGCCGUUAUCAUUUUGGGGUUAUGCAUUAGAAACAGCUGCAUUCACUUUAAAUAGGGCACCAUCAAAAUCCGUUGAGACGACAUCAUACGAACUGUGGUAUGGCAAAAGGCCAAAGUUAUCGUUUCUUAAAGUUUGGGGAUGUGAUGCUUAUGUCAAAAAGCUUCAGCCUGAAAAGCUGGAACCCAAAGCGGAAAAAUGCGUCUUCAUAGGUUACCCAAAAGAGACAGUUGGGUACACCUUCUAUCUCAAAUCCGAGGGCAAAGUGUUUGUUGCUAAAAACGGAGCUUUUCUCGAAAAGGAGUUUCUCUCGAGAGAAUUGAGUGGGAGGAAGAUAGAACUUGACGAGGUUGUCGAACCUCUCAUCCCUCUGGAUGGUGGCGCAGGGCAAGGGGAAACCUCUGUCGUUGCGACGCCGGUUGAGGAGGAAGUUAAUGAUGAUGAUCAUGAAACUCCAGUUCAAGUUUCUGUUGAACCACGCAGGUCGACAAGAUCACGCGCUGCUCCAGAGUGGUACGGUAAUCCCGUCUUAUCAAUCAUGUUGUUAGACAACAAUGAACCUGCAAAUUAUGAAGAAGCAAUGGUGGGCCCAGAUUCCAACAAAUGGCUAGAAGCCAUGAAAUCCGAGAUAGGAUCCAUGUAUGAGAACAAAGUGUGAACUUUGGAGAUACUACCUGAGGGCCGCAAGGCUAUUCAGAACAAAUGGAUCUUUAAGAAGAAGACAGAUGCUGACGGUAAUGUGACCGUUUAUAAAGCUCGACUUGUGGCAAAGGGUUUUUCACAAGUUCCAGGAGUUGACUACGAUGAGACUUUCUCACCCGUAGCGAUGCUUAAGUCCGUCAGAAUCAUGUUAGCAUUAGCUGCAUUUUUCGAUUAUGAAAUCUGGCAGAUGGAUGUCAAAACGGCGUUCCUUAACGGUUUCCUUAAGGAAGAGUUGUAUAUGAUGCAACCCGAAGGUUUUGUCGAUCCUAAAAAUGCUGACAAGGUGUGCAAGCUCCAGCGAUCCAUUUAUGGACUGGUGCAAGCAUCUCGGAGUUGGAACAAACGCUUUGAUGAGGUGAUCAAAGCAUUUGGGUUUAUACAAGUGGUUGGAGAAUCUUGUAUUUACAAGAAAGUGAGUGGGAGCUCUGUGGCGUUUCUAAUAUUAUAUGUGGAUGACAUAUUACUGAUUGGAAACAACGUAGAGCUUUUGGAGAGCAUAAAAGGUUACUUGAAUAAAAGUUUCUCUAUGAAGGACCUAGGAGAAGCUGCUUACAUUCUAGGCAUUAAGAUCUAUAGGGAUAGAUCAAAACGCCUGAUAGGACUUUCACAAAGCACAUACCUUGAUAAAGUUUUGAAGAGGUUCAAAAUGGAACAGUCCAAGAAAGGGUUCUUGCCAAUUUUACAAGGUACGAGAUUGAGUAAGACUCAGUGCCUAGCAAUUGAUGAAGAUAGAGAGCAUAUGCGCUCCAUCCCCUAUGCUUCAGCCAUAGGUUUCACAAGAAGACCAGACACAUCAAACGACGCUUCAACCUCAUCCGCGACUACGUCGAGGAAGAGGACGUAAAUAUAUGCAAAGUGCACACGGAUCUGAAUGUAGCAGACCCGCUGACUAAACCUCUUCCACGGCCAAAACAUGAUCGACACCAGAACUGUAUGGGUGUUAGAUUUAUUACAAUGUAAUUCACAUGGUGAUGUGAGGGCUGGAUUAUUGACUCUAGUGCAAGUGGGAGACUGUUGGAAUUAUGCCCUAGAGGCAAUAAUAAAUAUAGUUAUUAUUAUAAUUCCUGUAUCAAGAUAAUAGUUUAUUAUCCAUGCUAUAAUUGUAUUGAAUGAAGACUCAUUUAAAUGUGUGGAUACAUAGACAAAACACCGUCCCUAGCAUGCCUCUAGUUGGCUAGCCAGUUGAUCGAUGAUAGUCAGUGUCUUCUGAUUAUGAACAAGGUGUUGUUGCUUGAUAACUGGAUCACGUCAUUGGGAGAAUCACGUGAUGGACUAGACCCAAAUUAAUAGACGUAGCAUGUUGAUCGUGUCAUUUUGUUGCUACUGUUUUCUGCGUGUCAAGUAUUUAUUCCUAUGACCAUGAGAUCAUAUAACUCACUAACACCGGAGGAAUGCUUUGUGUGUAUCAAACGUCGCAACGUAACUGGGUGACUAUAAAGAUGCUCUACAGGUAUCUCCGAAGGUGUUAGUUGAGUUAGUAUGGAUCAAGACUGGGAUUUGUCACUCCGUGUGACGGAGAGGUAUCUCGGGGCCCACUCGGUAAUACAACAUCACACACAAGCCUUGCAAGCAAUGUAACUUAGUGUAAGUUGCGGGAUCUUGUAUUACGGAAUGAGUAAAGAGACUUGCCGGUAAACGAGAUUGAAAUAGGUAUGCGGAUACUGACGAUCAAAUCUCGGGCAAGUAACAUACCGAAGGACAAAGAGAAUGACAUACGGGAUUAUACGAAUCCUUGGCACUAAGGUUCAAACGAUAAGAUCUUCGUAGAAUAUGUAGGAUCCAAUAUGGGCAUCCAGGUCCCGCUAUUGGAUAUUGACCGAGGAGUCUCUCGGGUCAUGUCUACAUAGUUCUCGAACCCGCAGGGUCUGCACACUUAAGGUUCGACGUUGUUUUAUGCGUAUUUGAGUUAUAUGGUUGGUUACCGAAUGUUGUUCGGAGUCCCGGAUGAGAUCACGGACGUCACGAGGGUUUUCGGACUGGUCCGGAAACGAAGAUUGAUAUAUAGGAUGACCUCAUUUGAUUACCGGAAGGUUUUCGGAGUUACCGGGAAUGACGAAUGGGUUCCGAGAGUUCACCGGGGGGGCAACCCACCCCGGGGAAGCCCAUAGGCCAUAAGGGUGGCGCACCAGCCCUUAGUGGGCUGGUGGGACAGCCCAAAAGGGCCCUAUGCGCCAAGGAUAAGAAAUCAAAGGAAAAAGGAAAAAAGGAGGAGGUGGGAAGGGAGGGGGACUCCCUCCCACCAAACCUAGUCCAACUAGGUUUGGGGGGGGGGGGAGAGUCCUCCCCCUUGGCUCGGCCGACCCUCUUGAGGGUCCUUGGACCCCAAGGCAAGGCCCCCUCCCUCCCACCUAUAUAUACGGAGGUUUUAGGGCUGAUUUGAGACAACUUUUGCCACGGCAGCCCGACCACAUACCUCCACGGUUUUUCCUCUAGAUCGCGUUUCUGCGGAGCUCGGGCGGAGCCCUGCUGAGACAAGGUCAUCACCAACCUCCGAAGCGCCGUCACGUUGCCGGAGAACUCUUCUACCUCUCCGUCUCUCUUGCUGGAUCAAGAAGGCCGAGAUCAUCGUCGAGCUGUACGUGUGCUGNNNNNNNNNNNNNNNNNNNNNNNNNNNNNNNNNNNNNNNNNNNNNNNNNNNNNNNNNNNNNNNNNNNNNNNNNNNNNNNNNNNNNNNNNNNNNNNNNNNNAUAAUCAGAAGACACUGACUAUCAUCGAUCAACUGGCUAGCCAACUAGAGGCAUGCUAGGGACGGUGUUUUGUCUAUGUAUCCACACAUGUAAAUGAGUCUUCAUUCAAUACAAUUAUAGCAUGGAUAAUAAACUAUUAUCUUGAUACAGGAAUUAUAAUAAUAACUAUAUUUAUUAUUGCCUCUAGGGCAUAAUUCCAACAAGAUGUGGCUAGACUCAACACCACACGGAUGGUUGCGGGCUUCACCACUGGACUGAAAGUUUCACCAUAAUCAACACCCUCUUGUUGGGUGAAGCCGCGCACAACCCACCGAGCUUUGUAGCGAGCCAAGGUACCAUCAUUCUUGAACUUGUGACGAUAUAUCCAUUUGCCCGUGACGACAUUGACACGUGCAGAUUUGGGCACCAAAGACCAAGUGAAGUUGUUCAUUAAAGCAUAAUAAUUAUCAAGCAUGUCUGGUUUUCAAUUAGGGUCUUUAAGUGCAGCUUUGUAGGAAGAUGGGAGAGGUGAGAUGGUGCUGGAGGUGUUAGUGGCAAGGAAUAAUCGCUUGGGCAUGCAGUAGCCGCGUUUGGCACGAGUGGCCAUGGAGUGAGAGUUGUGUGGUGGUGCAACCGGCAGUGCAUGAGGAGGCACAUGUGGUGCGGGAGGAGUGGAUGGCUCAGCGACCAGGGAGGAUGCUGUGGGUCCAGGCGAAUCGGUCGGAUCCGAGGNNNNNNNNNNNNNNNNNNNNNNNNNNNNNNNNNNNNNNNNNNNNNNNNNNNNNNNNNNNNNNNNNNNNNNNNNNNNNNNNNNNNNNNNNNNNNNNNNNNNCCAGGAGACGUAGCCCUCUUACUGGGACACCGGUGCGGUCAACCCCAUUAGCGACCUGUUCCCGGCAUGGAGCAAUCGGUCCACAGUCCACACACAACUGGAACAAGCAGGUUGAUGGAUUUUGAUAAUACAAAGAUGAUAAUUCAUGGUAUAUAUGUAUCGGCACUGUGCAAAAGGAAAGACUUAGGGAGGUAUGCUAAAAAUAAUUCAGUGCUGGUUUUCAGUGAGUUGUAAAUGAACAUCAUUUCCUUACAAAGAAUAAACAUUAUUACAGGCAUUAUUCAUGAUAUGAUGUUGGUCUGAGAAUUCCAAUUCAGAAGCAUUGAAGCGCCACUUGGCUAAAGUUGCUAAUUUCCUAUGGUUCGGUGAAGAUGGCAUGGAAAUGCGUGUAAAUUUUACAUGCUUGGAUAACUCUUGUUUCUCUUAACACAGAAUAUAUCCUUCCAUUUAUGUAUCUCAUUCAGAGAGAAAUUUAAUGCGCAGACUGACAUUACAUGUCAUUGUUCAUUCAAAAUGUAUGUGCAGGUCAAUAUUGGGAUGUUACUUUCACGGUCUAACAGGUGACAAUGCUAAUUUGUCUGGCCGCUGUUUUGCUGAGAGUUAGGCCAUGUGUCAACUUCGAAACAAUGGAUAGAUCCGUGGGGAGUUUCCGUUCCUGCAAAACUAAAUUUGUUCGAGGGGUCGCAUAUGGGUAGAUGCAGGGAGGUCGAUGGUUGUGCUUGUGAGCUGCCAGAUCGGCGUCGGCGUGACGCGACGCUGGCGAGGGGAAGGCCCUGCAAAUGGGGUGGUGGAGACAAGUAAAGUUGACAGAGCUUGGGCGUGGGGUGGCCGAGGACGCCGUCACCCGUGCGCCGCUCCGGUUGCCAUCAGUAGCUAGUACUGGAGCUCGGUCUCGUGUGCCAAAAAUCCCGUUGCACAAAGGAGAUCCACAUGCGCUGCUGGACAUGCUAUGCUACUCAAUUUGACCCAAGCUACUUCAGUCAUGAUUGAUUUUAGUGGCAGAAUGGGGGGAGACAAUUUGCAUACUGGGGUUUGUGCUUUUCUGUGGUAAUUUACUAAACAUAUUUUGGUGCAUGAUCCCCUUUGACGUACACUUGUGCCAGCCCCAUUAUAUUUCAGUUUGCAAAAUACUCCCUCCGUCCCAAAAUUGUUGUCUUAAGUUUGUCUAGAUAUAAUUAGUAAGGAACGACAAAAAGUGGAUAGUUGAGUUUGUCAAGCACAAUGGCACACCUAACUUUGGUAGAUCACCUGGCUUUGAGAUUUUUGCAUGACUAUAUAAGGUUCCCAUAAACCCCUUUGCUGCUAUAAUGGCUGCUUUUAAUGUACCAGGUUAUUGUCUUUUUCAUCUCAGGUAAAUAGUUCCUUUCUCACCCGUUUUUUCAUAUCGAGAUCAAGAGAUAUAGGGCCGACUGGGGGGUGAAGAUAGCUAGUGCCAUGAGCAAGUGUUGAUGAGGCGGCUGAAUAUCGUUGUUGGGCGAGGGGGGGCACCGUGGUGGUCGAGGGAGAGCAACCAUUAGGGGGGGGGGGGGGUAGAUGUGCUUCUUUGCUUAGGUCCAUGGCGAGGUUCCAUGAGAUGUCGCCGGAUUUCUGAGAGGAUAUACACGUUGAUUGUGGCUGCGAAUAAGAUUACUACUCCUGUGAUUUUGUAUGUUUCCAGAGAGCGUAAAACAAAGAGGACAAAUGUGGGGCAAUUUGUUUGCCGUAUGAUUUUUCUUUUACAUUCUGUUUGUUAUAUGCUUUGUGUGUCGCUGCUUUACAUUUGUAGAGAGAGACACUUCAUGUGCGGUUGCUUUGUGGUGUUCUAUGCUCCAUUGUGUGCUCUGUUUGUGGAAAUUUAUACAUGGCAAUAUAUAGAUUGGAAUUGAGAUUGGGAGCUAAUUUGUUGGUUCUGCUUUGUCUAAUGCUGCCAUUAUUUAUGUGAUGAUGUCAUUAUUGUACAGAAGGAAGGGACAGUGAGAGAGAUGGAUAGAAAUUACUAUUUUUGUUGUAAUUAUCUGUCGUCGAAGCUUAUUAUUUAUAGAUUGUUAUGAUGAAAAGUUAACAAUACUUUUCAUUAUUUCAAAAGCAAUGUCAGAUUUAAUAAUUUGAACUAAACUGGACUACAACAUGUUGAUGUAGAUGAGUAUGAACACGAUUAACAUAAUCAUGCAAUUUUUAGAGACUAAAACAGGUUGGUGAGGCAAUUUUACUUCCGUUACAACGCACGGGCAUUUGUGCUAGUAAUAAGAAAAAACAAUCAACUAUUUUGAAACAAUUUUAUCAAUAUUGUAAAACAAAUCCUAUUUUAAAACAAAAUUCAUUGAAUUGAAAACAAGACACAUGAUUUUAAUAUUAAGUUCAUAAUUCUGAAAAAAAAGUUCAUUCAAGUUUGAAAAAGAUCAACAAUUUUGCAAACUUUCUGUAAAAGUUCAUCAAUUAAAAAAAUCAUAUAUAUGGAAAACAAAUCUUCAAAUACUAUACAAAGAUAUCAAACUGGAAACCAAAUCCAUCAUUUAAAAAAAGUUCAGUUAUUUUGGAAAGAUCUCACGAAAUUUAAUUCAAUAAAAAGAAAAGAAAAAAGAAAAUAAAUGAAAAUAAAAAGAAGAAGGGACAAGUGAGCCGGUCCAGAUUGGUGGGUUUCAGGCGUCCUACAGCAAAACCGACGCCUGUAGCGCCCCUCUUCGUGGCCCGGUCCAUGUAGAGUGUAGCUGGCCAUUAAAAAUCGAAAAAAGUUCACAGAAUUUUUAAAAAAUAGAUUUCCAAAAAAGAUCAAUGAUUUUGAAAAAACGUUCACCGAUUUCUAAAACAUGUUUACCCAUUUUAAAAAGUUCACAGAAUUCAAAAAAAACCAUCGUUUUUGAAAAAAGUUCAUCAAAUUUUAAAAAUAUUUUAUUGAUUUCCAAAAAGUUCACGAAUUUUAAAGUAUGUUCACAGAUUUUCGGAAAAGUUCACCGAUUUAAAAAAAUGGUAAUUUUCAGAAAUGUCCGCCAAUGUCAAAAAAGAUCAUCGAUUUGAAAAAAAGUUCAUAGUCUAAAACACAUAAAGGUUCUCUAGAUGGGCUGGCUCAUCGCGGAAGCGCUGUAACAUUGUUAGCAAAAUUUGUCUAAAACCGACGUUGUGAGGCUAAAUAGGAUAUUCCAACGGUUUCAGCGAAAGAAAUUUUUGCAGAUAGGAUAUAUGUCUCGUCAUCUCGGUACAGCUAUGUGUCACUCGUACCGAUUCCACAUAAGUAUUCUAUGUUUGCCACACUAGCGGGCUGGCACAUUUACCCUGUAGCCGCUGCCACUCGUUGCGAAAGCUGUAUGUUGAACUGUUUGGAUUUUCUGGGUUUCUUGUUGUAUUUUCAUUGGUUUGAUUUUUUUCACUGUUUUCUUUGUGUUUUUUCAUUACUUUGGUCUUCUUAUUUUUAAUUUGUUGUUUUUUAUUUUUCAUUUCUUUCCUUUUUUGCUUUUUUUUGGGUCCUUUGUGGUUCUAGUCUUUCCUUUUUUAACUCGUGUCUAGAUUUUUCUAGCUAUACACAUUAUUAGAGCACACGAAAUGUUAUAUGAUAAACUUUUCAUGUUUUUCAAAUACAUGGUAUGUAUGUUUUAUAAAUGACGUCUUAAUCAUUGUUUUGAUACACACUAACAUUUUCCAAUUACAAUCUGUACAUUGUUUAAUGGUACUGACCAUUUUUUAAAUUAUAUGAACAUCUUUUACACUGACUAAUAUUUUUAAAUUUUUGGAGGAUAUUUUAUAAAACUAUGUGAAUAUUUGUUUCAAAUAUAACGUACAUUGUUUAGUGGAAAGAAAAUAUUUCAAACCUAUGGGAACAUUUGUGUACAUUGUAUAUUUCAUUAAAAAUGUAAGAAACAUUUGUUCGAGUCACCGGAAUAUUUGUUUAAAAUGUCACAUACAUUUUCUUAAAGCUAUGAAACAUAUUUUUCAUGAGACAAACAUUUUAAGUUUUAAAUUACACACAAACUAGUUAUCAUUUGUUUAAUGUAACAUAUAUUUGUUUAAAUAUAAAAAAUAUGUCUUUGAGUUACGCAAACAUUUUUUGUGCAGUAUAUAAAUAUUUUUUUCAAUGGGACUACAUUUGCAUUAAACACGUGACAAUUUUUGUAUACAUCUUUCACUUCUUGGUCACAAACAUUUCUGGUUCUCAUGAUUAAAUUUGUUGUAUACAUCUUUCACUUUUUUUCUAAAUCCAUUUUAUCCUUGCUAAAAACAAAUUUGUGUGUGUGUGUGGGUGGGUGGGUGGGUGUAAUACUUCAGAUAAAAUAACAAUAAAAAAUAAAUCAAGAAAAUAAAGAAAAUUGUGUAAGAAAAAAGGGAACAAACAUGUGUGACCGAGGGAUAAUAACGUCAGCGUGACUAGGAUGUAUCCUCGGCCGUGGCCCGUGUGCCAAAUCGACCUCGGCAAUACUCUGUGCCCAUGGGCCGAGCCCAACUGCACGUAACGCUCUUGCCAGUUUCAGAGUCAAGGGCCAAAAAUACUACACCUACGGACUACCUACACAAUUAACUUACGAAGCCCUCUCACUAACCAAUCACUCUGCCCCGUGAUUUCAACCGUGGGUCCCUUCUUCUGGUUUCCAGCCAAUCAAAUAAUGCCACUGAAGCCCGUAAAUUCAUUCCGUAAAAAAUCGUCCGUAGGUGUAGUGUUGUCCGUCAAGGGCUAUCUUAAAAAAACGACCAAGUAGUUUUACACCUUUCUGUAGACAUUGCAUAAUCUUCUGCUCCCUUGUAAGCAAAUAUAAGAUUAUUUAGAUCACUAAUAGCGAACUAAACGAUCUUCUAUUCCUAUACAUAGGUAGUAAAAAAUAAUAAAUUAAUAAUCAUGUAAUAUAAAUUUUAAAACAUGUUAAACUUUAAAAAUUGUACUUGCAAAAAAAUCUGCAUGCAUCUUGAAAAAGUGUUCGCGCAUUUUUGAAACGAAUUUGACUUGGGUUGUCAGAACUGAAUAUCCUGAGAGGCGGUAGGUUGAGUGAUUACCGAACUACAUUACUAAGGGCAUGUACAAUGAUUUUAUUUUAGAAGUAUCACAUAGGAUAAAUAUCGAUAUGAAGCAAAACAAAUCACAAGAAAUGGCUUGUCUUUCUUUUAUUUACCGAAAAGAUAACGCCCACACGUGUGGUGGUUUUACAACCCGUCCACACACAUGGAUUGUCGUUCAUUGGUUGUUGCACGAAUCUUGACAACUUUUGUCUGAAUUUCGUUGCCACGUAGGACUCAACUGCUGUGUGGACGUUUAAUCACUUCGCCCGCACACCCGUUUCUCUUUCAGCGGAUUUUUUUGGUUUCGAGCUUAAAAAUAUUUUAUCUCCUAAUUAAAAAAUCUAAUUAAAAAUCCCUUUUCACCAUUAAAUCCGCCUCGACGAGAUCUUCAAAACUAGAUCCCAUGUUGAUAUGUUCCGAUGAAAAAAAAAUUGUCUAAAAGUUAUCAUGAUAUUUACACAGUAGUUGUCAUAGUGUUUACAUUAAAAUUGUCAUGACAUGUUCUAUCUAUAUUUUCUUCUAGAUUUAAAGCUACAAUUAUAUUUUCAACUAUUUUUAUGGCAUUUUUUAUUAAUUGACCAUGGCAAUUUUUAGUAAUUAACCAUGGCAAAUUUAAUGCAUGGAUCACGACAAUUUUUAGUAAUCCAUCAUGAUAAAUUUAGUUUAUAGAUCAUAGCAAUUUUAGUUUUUUGACCAUGACAAUUCCAGUACUUUAAUCAUGGAAAUAAUUUAUAUAUGAACCAUGACAAAUUUAAGUGCAUGUAUCAUGACAAAUUUAAGUAAUUCACCAUAUAAGUGUACAUACAUACCUAUUAGCGCUUUCGUCUGUACUGUGUUGAAAAACGUAAUUCACCAUGACAAGUCUAUUUUUUAAUUCUUUGUUUUAUAAUAUGUCAAAAUUACUUUUAAAGAUAGAAGAAAAAAAUAGUUAAAAUAUAUCAUUGCAACUUCAAUGUAAACAAUAUGACCAUUCAUGUGCAAUAGAAGUGGCAACUUUUAGUUGAAACAUACUGAUAUGAUAUUUAGUUUCUAAGAUCUCGCUGCGAUGUAUUUAAUGAUGAAAACAGAUCUUCAAUUGAAUUUUUCAUUUAAAAGGUAAAACAUUUUAAAACCAGAAAAUUCAAAAAGAUUCAUAAAUGCAUGCGUACGGUGACGUGCCUGCAAUGUCCUAGCCACCGAACAUGCGGGCUGUGUUUUGAGACGUCCGGACGUACCCGUGCGGACGGACCUGGGUCGAUGUCGCACAGGACAUACGGAGGUACCUCCCACCUGUCACACAUGUGAUAGAUAUUGCGAUAAUAAAGAUAUGAUCUCUUAAAUAAUAUGUUUCAGCAUAUAUUUAGGAAUAUCUAGUUAUGAGAGCUAGGGCUAGGACAAGGAAACAUCACAUUGUACAUCAGUUCUUGCUGUCUUAUGAGUACAUGAUAAUGGCAACGUGCACAAGCCAUUUCCCCUUUCGCCUCUCGGGGAAACCACUCCCGACCUGCCCCCAACCCGAGCCGUGAGCUACCGACAACGGCCUCCAGCGGCAGGCCAACGCGGCCCACGCGCUCCGCUCCACUACCUACUGCGCCACACCAAAACCCACCGCAGACCGCUUCCCUCCCCGACGGACGGACAGCGCAGCGCAGCUUCCGGCCACGCCACGACGCGCGGGCGUGGCGCCCUGCCGUCCACGGAUCCGCCGUCGAUCUGGAAGGCCGACAAACGCCGCCCCGCUUCCCUUUCCGCUGCUGCCCACUGGAAGAUUAAGUACCGCUCCCCGAGACAGUCAGCUCCACUCCCUCCCUCACUCACUUCCACUCGAGCUCCCACUCCCAUCCCCAUCACCAACCUCUCCCACUCCCACCCCCACCCCCACAUGGCCAUGGCUCCCCACCCACCGGUCCUCCUCCUGCUCCUGCUCCUCCUCUCCGCGCUGCUCCCCGAUGCGGCGCGGGUGGCCGGCGCCGAGGAGGACGCCGGCGUGACCAUCGUGCGCAAGGACGGCACGACCUGCACGCUCUGCGCCUCCUGCGGCAACCCCUGCAACCCCACCCCGGGGUACAGCUACCCCUCGCCACCUCCUCCGGCUCCGGUCACCCCCGCGGCGCCUGUAUUACCGCCUCCCACUUCCUACCCCGCUCCCUCCGGCGGCGGCGGUGGCUACUUCUACCCUCCGCCCACCGGCGGGUACGGAGGAGGCGGCGGCGGCGGCCAAGGAGGACAAGGUGGAGGCGGAGGCGGUGCGUACCCGACGCCGCCGCCGCCCAACCCGUUCCUGCCCUACUUCCCCUUCUACUACUAUAGCCCGCCGCCCCAGCACACGGCCAAGAGCUCGUCGCCGGCCGUCUCGUCGUCCUCCGCGGCGACUACACUGCUGCUGCUCGCGCUCUCUGGGCUCCUGCUGUGGUGAGGAGGACGACGGUGAGAAUGCGAGGUAGAUCUGCCGGUAAAUGCGCUGUCUUUCACACUCCGAAGGCAGUGACUACACUGGCUGGCUUCAUGUGCACUGCAGUAAUUUUCAAUUUUAUUUAUUUAUUCACCACUGUAAUUCCUCAUCUUCUUUUUUUUUUGCUCCUCCCUACGCUCCGUUUCUGUGAUUCAUGUGCCGCUAUAUAGUAGAACUAUAUAUAGGAGACCGUACCAAGUGUAAAACAAGGGCGACUAAUAAUAAGCACCAGUGCUGGUUUAUAUAUAUAUAUAUAUUAUAUAUAUAUAUAUAUAUAUAUGGAUCUGGUAAUUAAGAUAUGCGUUCAUGUCUCUCUCUCAAUGAUUACUUGAGGCGUUGGCAAAGCGAAUGUGCAUCAUAUGGUGGGCAGACACGAAGGCACUGUAUGGAUCUGAUUGAAAUGUCAUGGUGGUUCCCAUGACAUCUCCCACCGUGUGCUAAAGCCGGCUGACAGUUCUUCAGUCUUCACCUCUUCUUGGGUUGGUUGGGUGUGCAGUGUAGCUUUCGAAUGUGAAUCACAUGAGGUUGGUGAAGAAAAGCUGUAAUAAGCUAGCUGUGAAUGUGAAUCAUGUUCGACGUUAGUUGUGGCCUUGUUCUUGCUGCUGAAUACAGUUGUUCAAUGGCAUCGAACGUCAUUGCAGGCCAAAAAACAAAAACAAAAAAACAGUGGAAAAAUAGUGACAGUGGACCUGGUCAAACAUUGCGCUCCUGCAGUUCGGAACACCGAAAGUUAUAAUUUGGCUCACUGCUCACUGGUAAGUGGUAAGCGAACAAUAACCUGCUGCUACCGUACAGGCUUCCAAAACUGAAUCUUGUAGUACGAACAAAGCAGCACUACAGUUUAGAGUCUCCCUCGCUAACGAAGGCACAACAUGGAUCAGUUGGAAGAUAGGAUUCGUUCCUUAACUGAAUCAGUUACAAUGUACAAGUUUAUAUCCUUUUCAGAGGAGAACUAACAGCCAAGAAAAGAGGCACGCAGGCCAGGGCGAGUGGGAUCCUAAUAAGGUGGAUCAGCCUAGACUAAGUACAUACAUGACUACGUACAUGCAAUGAUACAUACAGUGUAGCUAUUCUAACACCCUCCUCAGCUGGAACUCUGUUUGGUAGGACGUUUAGGCUGGAUAUGAAAUCGGUGAAGACGGUAGUCGGCAGUCCUUUGGUAAAUACAUCAACGAACUGAGAGCUCGAUGGAACAUGUAGAACACGUGCUUCACCAAGGGCAACCCGGUCACGAACAAAGUGUAGAUCAAUCUCAAUGUGUUUAGUCCGUUGAUGUUGAACCGGGUUGCAAGCGAGAUAUGACGCACUCACGUUGUCACAAUAGACAAUAGUGGCACGCUGAGGCGGGAGGCGAAGCUCAUGAAGUAACUGACGUAACCAACAUGAUUCCGCCACACAAUUUGCAACACCCCUGUACUCGGCUUCAGCACUAGAACGAGAGAUGGUAGGCUGCCUCUUGGAGGACCAGGAGAUAAAAUUGGCGACGAGAAACACACAAAAUCCAGAGGUGGACUUGCGUGUGUCGGGACACCCGGCCCAAUCCGCAUCCGUAUAGGCAAUAAGAUCCAUAGAAGGAGAUUUAUAAAACUGAAUGGCGAAGUGAGAGGUGCCCUUGAGGUACCGAAGAAUGCGUUUAACAAGUUGCAUAUGAGUGUCACGUGUAGCAUGCAUAAAAAGGCAAACUUGUUGAAUGGCAUAUGCUAUGUCAGGGCGGGUGAGUGUGAGAUAUUGUAGGGCGCCAGCGAGACUACGAUAGUGGGUUGGGUUGGAAAGUAGCUGACCAUCGUGAGAUGACACUUUGGAGCUAGUGUCAAUGGGGUGGAAAUGGGUUUGCAAUUGAGCAUCUUGGCACGCUCAAGGAUUUCAAGAGUGUAUUGCUGCUGGCAAAGGAAGAGACCCACAUGGUUAGGUGUGACAUUGACACCCAAGAAAUGAUGAAGAGCACCCAAGUCAGUCAUGGAAAAUUCCGACUUUAAAGAGUUGAUGAUGGAGGUGAGUGUUCGGGGUGAAUUUACCGUUAGUAUGCAAUGGAGGUUUCAUGGUGCAAGAUGAAUAGUGAGGAGUCACUCUUGGAUGCAUGAAAACCAAGGGAUAAAAGAAAUUCUUGAAAUCGAAGGAACCAAGUGCGAGGAUCCUGUUUCUAACCAUAGAGAGACUUACGAACGAGGCACACAUGAUCCGGUUUAGAGGAAUCCACAAAACCGGCCGGUUGAGAACAGUACACCGUUUCCUUGAGAUCACCAUGGAGGAAUGUAUUUUUGACGUCCAGUUGGUGAAUGUGCCAAGAGUGAGAUGUGUUGGGGAACGUCGCAUGGGAAACAAAAAUUUUCCUACGCGCACGAAGACCUAUCAUGGUGAUGUCCAUCUACGAGAGGGGAUGAGUGAUCUACGUACCCUUGUAGACCGUACAGCAGAAGCGUUUAGGGAGCGCGGUUGAUGUAGUGGAACGUCCUCACGUCCCUCGAUCCGCCCCGCGAACAAUCCCGCGAUCAGUCCCACGAUCUAGUACCGAACGGACGGCACCUCCGCGUUCAGCACACGUACAGCUCGACGAUGAUCUCGGCCUUCUUGAUCCAGCAAGAGAGACGGAGAGGUAGAAGAGUUCUCCGGCAACGUGACGGCGCUUCGGAGGUUGGUGAUGACCUUGUCUCAGCAGGGCUCCGCCCGAGCUCCGCAGAAACGCGAUCUAGAGGAAAAACCGUGGAGGUAUGUGGUCGGGCUGCCGUGGCAAAAGUUGUCUCAAAUCAGCCCUAAAACCUCCGUAUAUAUAGGUGGGAGGGAGGGGGCCUUGCCUUGGGGUCCAAGGACCCUCAAGAGGGUCGGCCGAGCCAAGGGGGAGGACUCCUACCCCCCCCCCAAACCUAGUUGGACUAGGUUUGGUGGGAGGGAGUCCCCCUCCCUUCCCACCUCCUCCUUUUUUCCUUUUUCCUUUGAUUUCUUAUCCUUGGCGCAUAGGGCCCUUUUGGGCUGUCCCACCAGCCCACUAAGGGCUGGUGCGCCACCCUUAUGGCCUAUGGGCUUCCCCGGGGUGGGUUGCCCCCCCGGUGAACUCUCGGAACCCAUUCGUCAUUCCCGGUAACUCCGAAAACCUUCCGGUAAUCAAAUGAGGUCAUCCUAUAUAUCAAUCUUCGUUUCCGGACCAGUCCGAAAACCCUCGUGACGUCCGUGAUCUCAUCCGGGACUCCGAACAACAUUCGGUAACCAACCAUAUAACUCAAAUACGCAUAAAACAACGUCGAACCUUAAGUGUGCAGACCCUGCGGGUUCGAGAACUAUGUAGACAUGACCCGAGAGACUCCUCGGUCAAUAUCCAAUAGCGGGACCUGGAUGCCCAUAUUGGAUCCUACAUAUUCUACGAAGAUCUUAUCGUUUGAACCUUAGUGCCAAGGAUUCGUAUAAUCCCGUAUGUCAUUCUCUUUGUCCUUCGGUAUGUUACUUGCCCGAGAUUUGAUCGUCAGUAUCCGCAUACCUAUUUCAAUCUCGUUUACCGGCAAGUCUCUUUACUCAUUCCGUAAUACAAGAUCCCGCAACUUACACUAAGUUACAUUGCUUGCAAGGCUUGUGUGUGAUGUUGUAUUACCGAGUGGGCCCCGAGAUACCUCUCCGUCACACGGAGUGACAAAUCCCAGUCUUGAUCCAUACUAACUCAACUAACACCUUCGGAGAUACCUGUAGAGCAUCUUUAUAGUCACCCAGUUACGUUGCGACGUUUGAUACACACAAAGCAUUCCUCCGGUGUUAGUGAGUUAUAUGAUCUCAUGGUCAUAGGAAUAAAUACUUGACACGCAGAAAACAGUAGCAACAAAAUGACACGAUCAACAUGCUACGUCUAUUAAUUUGGGUCUAGUCCAUCACGUGAUUCUCCCAAUGACGUGAUCCAGUUAUCAAGCAACAACACCUUGUUCAUAAUCAGAAGACACUGACUAUCAUCGAUCAACUGGCUAGCCAACUAGAGGCAUGCUAGGGACGGUGUUUUGUCUAUGUAUCCACACAUUUAAAUGAGUCUUCAUUCAAUACAAUUAUAGCAUGGAUAAUAAACUAUUAUCUUGAUACAGGAAUUAUAAUAAUAACUAUAUUUAUUAUUGCCUCUAGGGCAUAAUUCCAACAGUCUCCCACUUGCACUAGAGUCAAUAAUCCAGCCCUCACAUCACCAUGUGAAUUACAUUGUAAUAAAUCUAACACCCAUACAGUUCUGGUGUCGAUCAUGUUUUGGCCGUGGAAGAGGUUUAGUCAGCGGGUCUGCUACAUUCAGAUCCGUGUGCACUUUGCAUAUAUUUACGUCCUCUUCCUCGACGUAGUCGCGGAUGAGGUUGAAGCGUCGUUUGAUGUGUCUGGUCUUCUUGUGAAACCUAUGGCUGAAGCAUAGGGGAUGGAGCGCAUAUGCUCUCUAUCUUCAUCAAUUGCUAGGCACUGAGUCUUACUCAAUCUCGUACCUUGUAAAAUUGGCAAGAACCCUUUCUUGGACUGUUCCAUUUUGAACCUCUUCAAAACUUUAUCAAGGUAUGUGCUUUGUGAAAGUCCUAUCAGGCGUUUUGAUCUAUCCCUAUAGAUCUUAAUGCCUAGAAUGUAAGCAGCUUCUCCUAGGUCCUUCAUAGAGAAACUUUUAUUCAAGUAACCUUUUAUGCUCUCCAAAAGCUCUACGUUGUUUCCAAUCAGUAAUAUGUCAUCCACAUAUAAUAUUAGAAACGCCACAGAGCUCCCACUCACUUUCUUGUAAAUACAAGAUUCUCCAACCACUUGUAUAAACCCAAAUGCUUUGAUCACCUCAUCAAAGCGUUUGUUCCAACUCCGAGAUGCUUGCACCAGUCCAUAAAUGGAUCGCUGGAGCUUGCACACCUUGUCAGCAUUUUUAGGAUCGACAAAACCUUCGGGUUGCAUCAUAUACAACUCUUCCUUAAGGAAACCGUUAAGGAACGCCGUUUUGACAUCCAUCUGCCAGAUUUCAUAAUCGAAAAAUGCAGCUAAUGCUAACAUGAUUCUGACGGACUUAAGCAUCGCUACGGGUGAGAAAGUCUCAUCGUAGUCAACUCCUGGAACUUGUGAAAAACCCUUUGCCACAAGUCGAGCUUUAUAAACGGUCACAUUACCGUCAGCAUCUGUCUUCUUCUUAAAGAUCCAUUUGUUCUGAAUAGCCUUGCGGCCCUCAGGUAGUAUCUCCAAAGUUCACACUUUGUUCUCAUACAUGGAUCCUAUCUCGGAUUUCAUGGCUUCUAGCCAUUUGUUGGAAUCUGGGCCCACCAUUGCUUCUUCAUAAUUUGCAGGUUCAUUGUUGUCUAACAACAUGAUUGAUAAGACGGGAUUACCGUACCACUCUGGAGCAGCGCGUGAUCUUGUCGACCUGCGUGGUUCAACAGAAACUUGAACUGGAGUUUCAUGAUCAUCAUCAUUAACUUCCUCCUCAACCGGCGUCGCAACGACAGAGGUUUCCCCUUGCCCUGCGCCACCAUCCAGAGGGAUGAGAGGUUCGACAACCUCGUCAAGUUCUAUCUUCCUCCCACUCAAUUCUCUCGAGAGAAACUCCUUUUCGAGAAAAGCUCCGUUUUUAGCAACAAACACUUUGCCCUCGGAUUUGAGAUAGAAGGUGUACCCAACUGUCUCUUUUGGGUAACCUAUGAAGACGCAUUUUUCCGCUUUGGGUUCCAGCUUUUCAGGCUGAAGCUUUUUGACAUAAGCAUCACAUCCCCAAACUUUAAGAAACGAUAACUUUGGCCUUUUGCCAUACCACAGUUCGUAUGAUGUCGUCUCAACGGAUUUUGAUGGUGCCCUAUUUAAAGUGAAUGCAGCUGUUUCUAAUGCAUAACCCCAAAAUGAUAACGGCAAAUCAGUAAGAGACAUCAUAGAUCGCACCAUCUCUAACAAAGUACGAUUACGACGUUCGGACACACCAUUACGCUGUGGUGUUCCAGGUGGUGUCAACUGUGAAACAAUUCCACAUUUUCUUAAGUGAUCACCAAACUCGAAACUCAGAUAUUCACCCCCACGAUCAGACCGUAGGAACUUGAUCUUCUUGUUACGAUGAUUUUCCACUUCACUCUUAAAUUGCUUGAACUUUUCAAAUGUUUCAGACUUGUGCUUCAUAAAGUAGACAUAACCAUACCUACUCAAAUCGUCAGUGAAGGUGAGAAAAUAACGAUAUCCGCCGCGUGCUUCCACGCUCAUUGGACCACACACAUCGGUAUGUAUGAUUUCCAAUAAGUCACUUGCACGCUCCAUUUUUCCGGAGAACGGAGUCUUAGUCAUCUUGCCCAUGAGGCAUGGUUCGCACGUGUCAAGUGAAUCAAAGUCAAGUGACUCCAAAAGUCCAUCAGCAUGGAGUUUCUUCAUGCGCUUUACACCAAUAUGACCUAAGCGGCAAUGCCACAAAAAUAUGGCGCUAUCAUUGUUUACUCUAACUCUUUUGGUCUCAAUGUUAUGUAUAUGCGUAUCGCUAUCAAGAUUCAAUAUGAACAAUCCUCUCACAUUCGGUGCAUGACCAUAAAAGAUGUUACUCAUAGAAAUAGAACAACCAUUAUUCUCAGACUUAAAAGAGUAACCGUCUCGCAAUAAACAAGAUCCAGAUAUAAUGUUCAUGCUCAACGCAGGCACUAAAUAACAAUGAUUUAAGUUCAUCACUAAUCCCGAUGGUAGCUGAAGUGACACUGUGCCGACGGCGAUUGCAUCAACCUUGGAACCGUUUCCUACGCGCAUCGUCACUUCGUCUUUCGCCAGCCUUCGUCUAUUCCGCAGUUCCUGCUUCGAGUUGCAAAUAUGAGCAACAGAACCGGUAUUGAAUACCCAGGCACUACUACGAGAGCCGGUUAAGUACACAUCAAUAACAUGUAUAUCAAAUAUACCUGAUUUUUCUUUGCCCGCCUUCUUAUCUGCCAGAUACAUGGGGCAAUUGCGCUUCCAGUGACCCAUACCCUUGCAAUAGAAGCACUCUGUUUCAGGAUUAGGUCCAGCCUUGGGUUUCUUCGGCGGAUUGGCAACAGGCUUGCCGCUCUUCUUCGAAUUGCCCUUCUUGCCUUUGCCGUUUCUCUUGAAACUAGUGGUCUUGCUCACCAUCAACACUUGAUGCUCUUUACGGAGUUCAGACUCUGCGACUUUCAGCAUCGCAAACAACUCGCCGGGAGACUUAUUCAUCCCUUGCAUGUUGUAGUUCAACACAAAGCCUUUAUAGCUUGGCGGCAGUGAUUGAAGGAUUCUGUCAGUGAUAGCUUCUUGCGGGAGUUCAAUCCCCAGCUCAGCUAGACGGUUUGAGUACCCAGACAUUUUGAGCACAUGUUCACUGACAGACGAGUUUUCCUCCAUCUUGCAAGCAUAGAAUUUAUCGGAGGUCUCAUACCUCUCGAUCCGGGCGUUCUUCUGAAAGAUAAACUCCAACUCCUGAAACAUCUCAAAUGCUCCAUGACGCUCAAAGCGACGUUGAAGUCCCGGUUCUAAGCCAUACAAGACUGCAUAUUGAACUAUUGAGUAGUCCUCCUUACGUGCUAACCAAGCGUUCUUAACAUCCUGAUCAGCCGUAGCGGGUGGUUCAUCUCCUAGCGCAGCAUUAAGGACAUAAUCCUUCUUCCCAGCUUGUAAGAUUAGCUUAAGAUUACGAGCCCAGUCUACAAAGUUGCUUCCAUCAUCUUUCAACUUAGCUUUCUCUAGGAACGUAUUAAAAUUCAGGAUGACUGUCGCGUGAGCCAUGAUCUACAACACAAAUAUAUUCAAAGUGGACUUUAGACUAUGUUCAAGAUAAUUAGAGUUCAACUUAAUCAAAUUAUAUGCUAAACUCCCACUCAAAAAGUACAUCUCUCUGGUCAUUUGAGUGGUUCAUGAUCCACUUACACUAUCCCAAGUCCGAUCAUCACGUGAGUUGAGUAUAGUUUCAGUGGUAAGCAUCCCUAUGCUAAUCAAAUCAACUAUAUGAUUCAUGAUCGACCUUUCGGUCUCAUGUGUUCCGAGGCCAUGUCUGCACAUGCUAGGCUCGUCAAGCUUAACCCGAGUGUUCCGCGUGCGCAACUGUUUUGCACCCGUUGUAUGUGAACGUUGAGUCUAUCACACCCGAUCAUCACGUGGUGUCUCGAAACGACGAACUGUAGCAACGGUGCACAGUCGGGGAGAACACAAUUUCGUCUUGAAAUUUUAGUGAGAGAUCACCUCAUAAUGCUACCGUCGUUCUAAGCAAAAUAAGGUGCAUAAAAGGAUUAACAUCACAUGCAAUUCAUAAGUGACAUGAUAUGGCCAUCAUCACGUGCUUCUUGAUCUCCAUCACCAAAGCACCGGCACGAUCUUCUUGUCACCGGCGCCACACCAUGAUCAUCCAUCAACGUGUUGCCAUUGGGGUUGUCGUGCUACUUAUGCUAUUACUACUAAAGCUACAUCCUAGCAAAAUAGUAAACGCAUCUGCAAGCACAAACGUUAGUAUAAAGACAACCCUAUGGCUCCUUCCGGUUGUCGUACCAUUGACGUGCAAGUCGAUAUUUCUAUUACAACAUGAUCAUCUCAUACAUCCAAUAUAUCACAUCACAUCGUUGGCCAUAUCACAUCACAAUCAUACCCUGCAAAAACAAGUUAGACGUCCUCUAAUUUUGUUGUUGCAUGUUUUACGUGGUGACCAAGGGUAUCUAGUAGGAUCGCAUCUUACUUACGCAAACACCACAACGGAGAUAUAUGAGUUGCUAUUUAACCUCAUCCAAGGACCUCCUCGGUCAAAUCCGAUUCAACUAAAGUUGGAGAAACCGUCACUUGCCAGUCAUCUUUGAGCAAAGGGGGUUACUCGUAACGAUGAAACCAGUCUCUCGUAAGCGUACGAGUAAUGUCGGUCCAAGCCGCUUCAAUCCAACAAUACCGCGGAAUCAAGAAAAGACUAAGGAGGGCAGCAAAACGCACAUCACCGCCCACAAAAGCUUUUGUGUUCUACUCGAGAAGACAUCUACGCAUGAACCUAGCUCAUGAUACCACUGUUGGGGAACGUCGCAUGGGAAACAAAAAUUUUCCUACGCGCACGAAGACCUAUCAUGGUGAUGUCCAUCUACGAGAGGGGAUGAGUGAUCUACAUACCCUUGUAGACCGUACAGCAGAAGCGUUUAGAGAACGCGGUUGAUGUAGUGGAACGUCCUCACGUCCCUCGAUCCGCCCCGCGAACAAUCCCGCGAUCAGUCCCACGAUCUAGUACCGAACGGACGGCACCUCCGCGUUCAGCACAUGUACAGCUCGACGAUGAUCUCGGCCUUCUUGAUCCAGCAAGAGAGACGGAGAGGUAGAAGAGUUCUCCGGCAGCGUGACGGCGCUCCGGAGGUUGGUGAUGACCUUGUCUCAGCAGGGCUCCGCCCGAGCUCCGGAGAAACGCGAUCUAGAGGAAAAACCGUGGAGGUAUGUGGUCGGGCUGCCGUGGCAAAAGUUGUCUCAAAUCAGCCCUAAAACCUCCGUAUAUAUAGGUGGGAGGGAGGGGGCCUUGCCUUGGGGUCCAAGGACCCUCAAGGGGGUCGGCCGAGCCAAGGGGGAGGACUCUCCCCCCCCAAACCGAGUUGGACUAGGUUUGGUGGGAGGGAGUCCCCCUCCCUUCCCACCUCCUCCUUUUUUUUCCUUUUUCCUUUGAUUUCCUAUCCUUGGCGCAUAGGGCCCUUUUGGGCUGUCCCACCAGCCCACUAAGGGCUGGUGCGCCACCCUUAUGGCCUAUGGGCUUCCCCGGGGUGGGUUGACCCCCCCCCCCCCGGUGAACUCCCGGAACCCAUUCGUCAUUCCCGGUACAUUCCCGGUAACUCCGAAAACCUUCCGGUAAUCAAAUGAGGUCAUCCUAUAUAUCAAUCUUCGUUUCCGGACCAUUCCGGAAACCCUCGUGACGUCCGUGAUCUCAUCCGGGACUCCGAACAACAUUCGGUAACCAACCAUAUAACUCAAAUACGCAUAAAACAACGUCGAACCUUAAGUGUGCAGACCCUACGGGUUCGAGAACUAUGUAGACAUGACCCGAGAGACUCCUCGGUCAAUAUCCAAUAGCGGGACCUGGAUGCCCAUAUUGGAUCAUACAUAUUCUACGAAGAUCUUAUCGUUUGAACCUCAGUGCCAAGGAUUUGUAUAAUCCCGUAUGUCAUUCCCUUUGUCCUUCGGUAUGUUACUUGCCCGAGAUUUGAUCGUCAGUAUCCGCAUACCUAUUUCAAUCUCGUUUACCGGCAAGUCUCUUUACUCGUUCCGUAAUACAAGAUCCCGCAACUUACACUAAGUUACAUUGCUUGCAAGGCUUGUGUGUGAUGUUGUAUUACCGAGUGGGCCCCGAGAUACCUCUCCGUCACACGGAGUGACAAAUCCCAGUCUUGAUCCAUACUAACUCAACUAACACCUUCAGAGAUACCUGUAGAGCAUCUUUAUAGUCACCCAGUUACGUUGCGACGUUUGAUACACACAAAGCAUUCCUCCGGUGUCAGUGAGUUAUAUGAUCUCAUGGUCAUAGGAAUAAAUACUUGACAUACAGAAAACAAUAGCAACAAAAUGACACGAUCAACAUGCUACGUCCAUUAGUUUGGGUCUAGUCCAUCACUUGAUUCUCCCAAUGACGUGAUCCAGUUAUCAAGCAACAACACCUUGUUCAUAAUCAGAAGACACUGACUAUCAUCGAUCAACUGGCUAGCCAACUAGAGGCAUGCUAGGGACGGUGUUUUGUCUAUGUAUCCACACAUGUAAAUGAGUCUUCAUUCAAUACAAUUAUAGCAUGGAUAAUAAACUAUUAUCUUGAUACAGGAAUUAUAAUAAUAACUAUAUUUAUUAUUGCCUCUAGGGCAUAAUUCCAACAAGAUGUGGCUAGACUCAACACCACACGGAUGGUUGCGGGCUUCACCACUGGACUGAAAGUUUCACCAUAAUCAACACCCUCUUGUUGGGUGAAGCCGCGCACAACCCACCGAGCUUUGUAGCGAGCCAAGGUACCAUCAUUCUUGAACUUGUGACGAUAUAUCCAUUUGCCCGUGACGACAUUGACACGUGCAGAUUUGGGCACCAAAGACCAAGUGAAGUUGUUCAUUAAAGCAUAAUAAUUAUCAAGCAUGUCUGGUUUUCAAUUAGGGUCUUUAAGUGCAGCUUUGUAGGAAGAUGGGAGAGGUGAGAUGGUGCUGGAGGUGUUAGUGGCAAGGAAUAAUCGCUUGGGCAUGCAGUAGCCGCGUUUGGCACGAGUGGCCAUGGAGUGAGAGUUGUGUGGUGGUGCAACCGGCAGUGCAUGAGGAGGCACAUGUGGUGCGGGAGGAGUGGAUGGCUCAGCGACCAGGGAGGAUGCUGUGGGUCCAGGCGAAUCGGUCGGAUCCGAGGUGUUGGAAAUAUGCCCUAGAGGCAAUAGUGAAAUGGUUAUUAUCAUAUUUCCUUGUUCAUGAUAAUCGUCUAUUGUUCAUGCUAUAAUUGUAUUAACAGGAAACAGUAAUACAUGUGUGAAUAAAUAGAUCAUAAUGUGUCCCUAGCAAGCCUCUAGUUGGCUAGCUCGUUGAUCGAUAGAUGAUCAUGGUUUCCUGAUCAUGGACAUCGGAUGUCAUUGAUAACGGGAUCACAUCAUUAGGAGAAUGAUGUGAUGGACAAGACCCAAUCAUAAGCAUGGCACUAGAUCGUGUUGUUCGUAUGCUAAAGCUUUUCUAAUGUCAAGUGUCUUUUCCUUCGACCGUGAGAUUGUGCAACUCCCGGAUACCGUAGGAGUGCUUUGGGUGUAUCAAACGUCACAACGUAACUGGGUGACUAUAAAGGUGCACUCCGAAAGUGUCUGUUGGGUUGGUACGAAUCGAGAUCGGGAUUUGUCACUCCGUGUGACGGAGAGGUAUCUCUGGGCCCACUCGGUAGAACAUCAUCAUGAGCUCAAUGUGACUAAGGAGUUAGUCACAGGAUGACGUGCUACGGAACGAGUAAAGAGACUUACCGGUAACGAGAUUGAACAAGGUAUAGGUAUACCGACGAUCGAAUCUCGGACAAGUUCUAUACCGACAGAGAAAGGGAAUUGUAUACGGGACUGAUUGAAUCCUGGACAUCGUGGUUCAUCUGAUGAGAUCAGCGUGGAACAUGUGGGAGCCACCAUGGGUAUUCAGAUCCCGUUGAUGGUUAUUGGAUGGAGAGUGUCUCGGUCAUGUCUUCAUGCCUCCCGAACCCGUAGGGUCUACACACUUAAGGUUCAAUGACGCUAGGGUUAUAGGGAAUUGUUAUACGAGGUUACCGAAGGUUAUUUGGAGUCCCGGAUGAGAUCCCGUACGUCACAAGGAGCUCCAAACUGGUCCGGAGGUAAAGAUUGAUAUAUAGGAUGGAUGGGUUUGAUCGCCGGAAUUGUUUCGGGCGACACUGGUAAUGUACCGGGACCACUGAUACGUCCAUUUUGCAUCAUGCUUUCAUGUUGAUAUUUAUUUCUUUUUGGGCUUUUAUAUUACUUGUGGUACCAUAUUUAUGCCUUUUCCCUCUUAUUUUGUAAGGUUUAUUUGAAGAGGGAGAAUUCAGGCAGCUGGAAUUCUGGACUGGAAAAGGAGCAAAUCUUAGUCCACUAUUCUGCACAUCUCCAAAUGCCCUGAAAAGUUACGUGAAUUUUUUGGGAUUAUAUAAAAAAUACUGGGCAAAAGAAUUACUAGAGGGGGCUGCCAGGGCGCCACAAGCCCUGCCACCGCCACCACCCCCCUGGUGGCGGAGUGGGGGAUUGUGGGCUCCCUCACGGCCCACUAGCCCCCCUCUUUUGCUAUAUGAAGGGGCUUGGUCCAGAAAAAAUCAUACGGGAGCUUUUUCGUGGUUUCGCCGCCGCCACGAGGCGGAACUUGAGCAGAUCCAAUGUAGAGCUCCUGCAGGACGAUCUUGCCGGGGAAACUUCCCUCCCGGAGGGGGAAAUCGUCGCCAUCGUCAUCACCAACACUCCUCUCAUUGGAGGGGAGGCAUCAUCAUCAACAUCUUCAUCAGCACCAUCUCCUCUCCAAUCCCUAGUUCAUCUCUUGUAACCAAUCUUCGUCUCGCAACUCCGAUUGGUACUUGUAAGGUUGCUAGUAGUGUUGAUUACUCUUUGUAGUUGAUGCUAGUUGGAUUACUUAGUGGAAGAGUUUAUGUUCAGAUCCUUGAUGCUAUUCAUUACACCUAUGAUCAUGAUUAUGAUUAUGCUUUGUGAGUAGUUACUUUUGUUCCUGAGGACAUGGGAUAAGUCAUGCUGAUAAUAGUCAUGUGAAUUUGAUAUUCGUUCGGUAUUUUGAUAUGAUGUAUGUUGUCUUUUCCUCUAGUGGUGUCAUGUGAACGUCGACUACAUAAGACUUCACCAUAUUUGGGCCUAGAGGAAGGCAUUGGGGAGUAGUAAGUAGAUGAUGGGUUGCUGGAGUGACAAAAGCUUAAACCCCAGUCUAUGCGUUGCUUCGUGAGGGGUUGAUUUGGAUCCACUAGUUUAAUGCUAUGGUUAGACUUUGUCUUAAUUCUUCUUUUGUAGUUGCGGAUGCUUGCGAGAGAGGUUAAUCAUAAGUGGGAUGCUUGUCCAAGUAAGGGCAGUACCCAAGCACUGGUCCACCCACAUAUCAAACUAUCAAAGUAACGAACGUGAAUCAUAUGAACAUGAUGAAACUAGCAUGACAGAAAUUCCCGUGUGUCCUCGGGAGCGUUUUUCCUCGUAUAAGACUUUGUUCAGGCUUGUCCCUUGCUACAAAAGGGAUUGGGCCACUUGCUGCACCAUUGCUACUACUUGUUACUUGUUACUUUUUGCUUGCUACGUUUCACCUCGCUACACAAUCACUUGUUACCGCUACUUUCAGUGCUUGCAGUUAUUACCUUGCUGAAAUCCGUUUAUGAGAGCCUUCUGUUCCUCGUUGGGUUCGACACUCUUACUUAUCAAAAGGACUACGAUUGAUCCCCUAUACUUGGGGGUCAUCAACCACCGAAAGGGUUUCGGGGGUACACCGGGAGGGGCCACCAGCCCCAAAGGCUAGCAUGAGCCAAAAGGUGGAAGGGAACCAGCCCAGAGUGGGCUGGUGCGCCUCCCACCUAGGCCAAAGACGCCACAAGAGAGGGAAGGGGGGAGUGCUACCUCUUGAGCUUGCGUCGAUUUUUCCCUUGAAGAGGAAAGGGUGAUGCAGCACACUAGCAGUAAGUAUUUCCCUCAGUUUGAGAACCAAGGUAUCAAUCCAGUAGGAGUAUCAAGGACGAAGCACCAAUGUACCUGCGCAAAAAUAGCAAACUUGCACCCAACGCUACAAAGGGGUUGUCAAUCCCUUCACGAUUGAUUGCAAGGUGAGAUCUGAAGGUGGAAAGUGCAACAAAGUAAAAGUGUAAGGCUGAAAAUAUGAUGUGAAGUAGACCCUGGGGCCAUAGUGUUCACUAGAGGCUUUUCUCAGGAUAGCCAAUAUUACGGUGGGUGAACGAAUUACUGUCGAGCAAUUGAUAGAACCGCGCAAAGUCAUGACGAUAUCUAAGGCAAUGAUCACACAAAUAGGCAUCAUGUCCGAGACAAGUAGACCGAUACUUUCUGCAUCUACUACUAUUACUCCACACAUCGACCGCUAUCCAGCAUGUAUCUAGUGUAUUGAGUUCAUGACGAACAGAGUAAUGCUUUAAGCAAGAUGACAUGAUGUAGAGGGAUAAAUUCAUGCAAUAGAUAUAAACGCCAUCUUUUUACCCUUGAUGGCAACAACAAGAUGCGUGCCUUGCUGCACCUUCUGUCACUAACUGAGGUCACCGCACGGUAUGAACCCAAAACCAAGCACUUCUCCCAUUGCAAGAAUCAUAGAUCAAGUUGGCCAAACAAAACCCACAACUCGAAGAGAAUUACAAGGAUAUGAAAUCAUGCAUAUAAGAGAUCAGAAGAAACUCAAAUAAGAUUCAUAGAUAAUCUGAUCAUAAAUCCACAAUUCAUCGGAUCUCGACAAACACACGGCAAAAAAGAUUACAUCGGAUAGAUCUCCAUGAAGAUCAUGGAGAACUUUGUAUUGAAGAUCCAAGAGAGAGAAGAAGCCAUCUAGCUACUAGCUAUGGACCCGAAGGUCUAUGGUGAACUACUCACGCAUCAUCGGAGAGGCAAUGGUGUUGAUGAAGAAGCCCUCCGUAUCCGAAUCCCCCUCCGGCAGGGCACCAGAACGUGCCCCAGAUGGGAUCUUGCGGAGACAGAAGCUUGCGACGGCGGAAAAGUAUUUUCGUGGAUCUCUUCCGUGGUUUUGGAUUUUUCGGUGAUUUAUAGGCGGAAGAAGUAGGGCACAGGAGCCCCAGGGGGCCCACAAGCCUGCCAGGCGCGGGCCCCCUGGCCGCGCCUAGGGGGCUUGUGGCCUCCCCUGGUGGCCUCUGCCUUGGUUCUCAAGCUUCGUGUGUAUCUUUUGUUCUGGAAAAAAUGUUUUUGGAGGUUUUAUUCCGUUUGGACUCCAUUUAAUAUUCUGCUCUGAAAAGGGUCAAAAACACGAAAAAAACAGGAACUGGCACUUGGCACUGAGUUAAUAAGUUAGUCCCAAAACAUAUAUAAAAGGCAUACAAAACAUCCAAAGUUUGACAAGAUAAUAGCAUGGAACCAUCAAAAAUUAUAUAUACGUUGGAGACGUAUCAAGCAUCCCCAAGCUUAACUCCUGCUCGUCCUCGAGUAGGGAAGUGAUAAAGACUGAAUUUUUGAUGUGGAAUGCUACCUAGCAUAUUUGUCCUUUGUAACUUCUUUCAUGUGACAUGAAUGUUCAGAUCCCUAAGAUUCCAAACAAUAGUUUGCUAUUGACAUGAAAACAAUAAUACUUAAAGAAAACUAGCAAGGUAAUCAUGAACUUUUGAAAUAACAAGGCCAUAGUAAAUUAUCCCUACAAAAUCAUAUAGUCUGGCUAUGCUGCAUCAUCCCCACACAACUAAUUUAAAUCAUGCACAACCCCGGUAUUGGCCAAGUAAUUUUUUUCGCACUCUUACUUUCUCAAACCUUUUUCAACUCUCACGCAAUACAUGAGCGUGAGCCAUUAAUAUAGCACUAUAGGUGGAAUAGAGUGUGGUGGAGGUUGCGAGACAAAAAGGAGGAGAUGGUCACAUCGACUCGGUGUAUCAAAGGGCUAUGGAGAUGCCCAUCAAUAGAUAUCAAUGUGAAAGAGUAGGGAUUACCAUGCAAUGGAUGCACUUAGAGCUAUAAGUAUGUGAAAGCUCAAAAGGAGAACUAGUGGGUAUGCAUCCAACUUGCUUGCUCACGAUGACCUAGGGCAAUUUUGAGGAAGCCCAUCAUUGGAAUAUACAAGCCAAGUUAUAUAAUUAAGAUUCCCACUAGCAUAUGGUGGUGAAAAAACAAGACUCUCAAUCAUGAAGAACAUGGUGCUAUUAUGAAGCACAACUGUGGAAAAGAUAGUAGCAUUGUCCCUUCUCUCUUUUUCUCUCUCUUUUUUUGUUUGGGCUCUUUGGCCUCUUUCCAUAUAUAUUUUUUUGUGGGCAACUUUGGCCUCUUUCCAUUUUUUUAUUUCCUCACAUGGGACAAUGCUCUAAUAAUGAUGGUCAUCACACUUUUAUUUACUCACAGCUCAAUGCUUAGAACAAUGAUGACUCUAUAAGAAAUGCCUCCGACAGUGUACCGGGAUGUGCAACGAUCUAGCUUAGCGUAUGACUCGCUAGCUAUCUUACGAUCGUGCAAUGGGAAUAUGAAAGUGACGACACAUGUCAUGAGACGGAACGGUGGGAGUUGCAUGGCAAUAUAUCUCGGAAUGUCUAUGAAAAGGCCAUGAUAGGUAGGUAUGGUGGCUGUUGUUAGGAAGAUCUAUGGUGGUUUUGUGUACCGGCGAAAGUUGCGCGACACUAGAGAGGCUAGCAAUGGUGGAAGGUGAAAGUGCAUCUAUACCAUGGACUCACAUUAGUCAUGAAGAAAUCACAUACUUAUUGUGAAAGUUUUUAUUAGUAAUCAAAACAAAGUGCUAAACGCAUACUCCUAGGGGAAGGGUUGGUAGGUGUUAACCAUCGCGUGAUCCCGACCGCAACACAAAGGAUGACAAUCAAUAAAUCAAUUAUGCUCCGACUUCCUAACAUAGUGGUUCACCAUACGUGCAUGUUACGGGAAUCACUAACUUCAACACAAGUAUUUCUAGAUUGACAACACCCUACUAACAUGAAUCUUAAUAUUACCAAAUCCAUGCCUCAAAACUAAUUGAGAGGAAUCAAACUUCUCUUUCUAAUCAAUGCACAAGAAUAUGGAAGUUUCAUUGUAUCCUCUUUGGGCGCCUAUCAUCUUUGGGACUACUUUCAUAGCACAAGCCAACUACCAAGUUACUCAGAGAGAGCACUCCCAAAAAGAUAUAAGUGAAGAUCGAGAGUUCUUAUUUCUCCAAAAUAUGACACCGCCGUGCUCUAAAAGAUCUAAAUGAAGCACAGAGCAAAAUUAUCUACCUCAAAAGAUAUAAGUGAAGCACAUGUGAGCUAAAUUGUCUAACUCAAAAGAUAUAAGCAAAGCUCAACGAGUAUUCUAGCAAAUUCAUGAUGAGUGCAUGUCUCUCUCAAAAGGUGUGCAGCAAGGAUGAUUGUGACACAACAAAAAGAAAAGACUCCUAUAAUACACAACGCUCCAAGCAAAACACAUAUCAUGUGGUGAAUAAAAAUAUAGCUCCAAGUAAUGUUACCGAUGGAUUGAAGACGAAAGAGGGGAUGCCUUCCCGGGGCAUCCCCAAGCUUAGGCUUUUUGGUGACCUUGAAUUUGGAUUGGGAUGCCUUGUGCAUCCCCAAGCUUGAGAUCUUUCCACUCUUUAUCCCUUUUGUUGGAAUUAUGCCCUAGAGGCAAUAAUAAAUAUAGUUAUUAUUAUAAUUCCUGUAUCAAGAUAAUCGUUUAUUAUCCAUGCUAUAAUUGUAUUGAAUGAAGACUCAUUUACAUGUGUGGAUACAUAGACAAAACACCAUCCCUAGCAAGCCUCUAGUUGGCUAGCCAGUUGAUCAAAGAUAGUCAGUGUCUUCUGAUUAUGAACAAGGUGUUGUUGCUUGAUAACUGGAUCACGUCAUUAGGAGAAUCACGUGAUGGACUAGACCCAAACUAAUAGACAUAGCAUGUUGAUCGUGUCAUUUUAUUGCUACUGUUUUCUGCGUGUCAAGUAUUUAUUCCUAUGACCAUGAGAUCAUAUAACUCACUGACACCGGAGGAAUACUUUGUGUGUAUCAAACGUCGCAACGUAACUGGGUGACUAUAAAGAUGCUCUACAGGUAUCUCCGAAGGUGUUAGUUGAGUUAGUAUGGAUCAAGACUGGGAUUUGUCACUCCGUGUGACGGAGAGGUAUCUCGGGGCCCACUCGGUAAUACAACAUCACACACAAGCCUUGCAAGCAAUGUAACUUAGUGUAAGUUGCGGGAUCUUGUAUUACGGAAUGAGUAAAGAGACUUGCCGGUAAACGAGAUUGAAAUAGGUAUGCGGAUACUGACGAUCAAAUCUCGGGCAAAUAACAUACCGAAGGACAAAGGGAAUGACAUACGGGAUUAUAUGAAUCCUUGGCACUGAGGUUCAAACGAUAAGAUCUUCGUAGAAUAUGUAGGAUCCAAUAUGGGCAUCCAGGUCCCGCUAUUGGAUAUUGACCGAGGAGUCUCUCGGGUCAUGUCUACAUAGUUCUCGAACCCGCAGGGUCUGCACACUUAAGGUUCGACGUUGUUUUAUGCGUAUUUGAGUUAUAUGGUUGGUUACGGAAUGUUUUUCAGAGUCCCGGAUGAGAUCACGGACGUCACGAGGGUUUCCAGAAUAGUCCGGAAAUGAAGAUUGAUAUAUAGGAUGAUCUCAUUUGAUUACCGUAAGGUUUUCGGAGUUACCGGGAAUGACGAAUGGGUUCCGGGAGUUCACCGGGGGGGGGGGGGUCAACCCACCCCGGGGAAGCCCAUAGGCCAUAAGGGUGGCGCACCAGCCCUUAGUGGGCUGGUGGGACAGCUCAAAAGGGCCCUAUGCGCCAUACAAAGGAAAAUCAAAGAGAAAGAAAAAAAAGGGAGGUGGGAAGGAAGGGAAGGACUCCCACCCACCAAACCAAGUCCAACUCGGUUUGGGGGGGGGAGCCUUCCCCCCUUGGACUCGGCCGACCCACUUGGGGCUCCUUGAGCCCCAAGGCAAGGUCCCCUCCCUCCCACCUAUAUAUACGGAGGUAUUGGGGCUGAUUUGAGACGACUUUUCCACGGCAGCCCGACCACAUACCUCCACGGUUUUUCCUCUAGAUCGCGUUUCUGCGGAGCUCGGGCGGAGCCCUGCUGAGACAAGGUCAUCACCAACCUCCGGAGCGCCGUCACGCUGCUGGAGAACUCUUCUAUCUCUCCGUCUCUCUUGCUGGAUCAAGAAGGCCAAGAUCAUCGUCGAGCUGUACGUGUGCUGAACGCAGAGGUGCCGUCCGUUCGGUACUAGAUCGUGGGACUGAUCGCGGGAUUGUUCGCGGGGUGGAUCGAGGGACGUGAGGACGUUCCACUACAUCAAUCGCGUUCACUAACGCUUCUGCUGUACAAUCUACAAGGGUACGUAGAUCACUCAUCCCCUCUCGUAGAUGGACAUCACCAUGAUAGGUCUUCGUGCGCGUAGGAAAAUUUUUGUUUCCCAUGCGACGUUCCCCACCAGUGGCAUCAUGAGCUAGGUUCAUGCGUAGUUGUCUUCUCGAGUAGAACACAAAAGUUUUUGUGGGCGGUGAUGUGCGUUUUGCUGCCCUCCUUAGUCUUUUCUUCAUUCCGCGGUAUUGUUGGAUUGAAGGGGCUUGGACCGACAUUACUCGUACGCUUAUGAGAGACUAGUUUCAUCGUUACGAGUAACUCCGUUGCUCAAAGAUGACUGGCAAGUGUCGGUUUCUCCAACUUUAGUUGAAUCGGAUUUGACCGAGGAGGUCCUUGGAUGAGGUUAAAUAGCAACUCAUAUAUCUCCGUUGUGGUGUUUGCGUAAGUAAGAUGCGAUCCUACUAGAUACCCUUGGUCACCACGUAAAACAUGCAACAACAAAAUUAGAGGACGUCUAACUUGUUUUUGCAGGGUAUGCUUGUGAUAUGAUAUGGCCAACGAUGUGAUGUGAUAUAUUGGAUGUAUGAGAUGAUCAUGUUGUAAUAGAAAAUAUCGACUUGCACGUCGAUGGUACGGCAACAGGAGCCAUAGGGUUGUCUUUAUACUAAUGUUUGUGCUUGCAGAUGCGUUUACUAUUUUGCUAGGAUGUAGCUUUAGUAGUAAUAGCAUGAGUAGCACGACAACCCCGAUGGCAACACGUUGAUGGAGAUCAUGGCGUGGCGCCGGUGACAAGAAGAUCGUGCCGGUGCUUUGGUGAUGGAGAUCAAGAAGCACGUGAUGAUGGCCAUAUCAUGUCACUUAUGAAUUGCAUGUGAUGUUAAUCCAUUUUUGCACCUUAUUUUGCUUAGAACGACGGUAGCAUUAUGAGGUGAUCUCUCACUAAAAUUUCAAGACGAAAUUGUGUUCUCCCCGACUGUGCACCAUUGCUACAGUUCGUCGUUUCGAGACACCACGUGAUGAUCGGGUGUGAUAGACUCAACGUUCACAUACACCGGGUGCAAAACAGUUGCGCACGCGGAACACUCGGGUUAAGCUUGACGAGCCUAGUAUGUGCAGACAUGGCCUCGGAACACAUGAGACCAAAAGGUCGAUCAUGAAUCAUAUAGAUGAUAUGAUUAGCAUAGGGAUGCUUUACACUGAAACUAUACUCAACUCACGUAAUGAUCGGACUUGAGCUAGUGUAAGUGGAUCAUGAACCACUCAAAUGAAUAGAGAGAUGUACUUUUUGAGUGGGAGUUUAGCGAAUAAUUUGAUUAAGUUAAACUCUAAUUAUCUUGAACAUAGUCUAAGUCCACUUUGAAUAUAUUUGUGUUGUAGAUCAUGGCUCACGCGACAGUCAUCCUGAAUUUUAAUACGUUCCUAGAGAAAGCUAAGUUGAAAGAUGAUGGAAGCAACUUUGUAGACUGGGCUCGUAAUCUUAAGCUAAUCUUACAAGCUGGGAAGAAGGAUUAUGUCCUUAAUGCUGCGCUAGGAGAUGAACCACCCGCUACGGCUGAUCAGGAUGUUGAGAACGCUUGGUUAGCACGUAAGGAGGACUACUCAAUAGUUCAAAUGUGCGGUCUUGUAUGGCUUAGAGCCGGGACUUCAACGUCGCUUUGAGCGUCAUGGAGCAUUUGAGAUGUUCCAGGAGUUGAAGUUUAUCUUUCAGAAGAACGCCCGGAUCGAGAGGUAUGAGACCUUCGAUAAAUUCUAUGCUUGCAAGAUGGAGGAAAACUCGUCUGUCAGUGAACAUGUGCUCAAAAUGUCUGGGUACUCAAACUGUCUAGCUGAGCUGGGGAUUGAACUCCCGCAAGAAGUUGUCACUGACAGAAUCCUUCAAUCACUGCCGCCAAGCUAUAAAGGCUUUGUGUUGAACUACAACAUGCAAGGGAUGAACAAGUCUCCCGGCGAGUUGUUUGCGAUGCUGAAAGUCGCAGAGUCUGAACUCCGGAAAGAGCAUCAAGUGUUGAUGGUGAAUAAGACCACUAGUUUCAAGAGAAACGACAAAGGCAAGAAGGGCAAUUCGAAGAAGAGCGGCAAGCUUGUUGCCAAUCCGAUGAAGAAACCCAAAGCUGGACCUAAGCCUGAAACAGAGUGUUACUGUUGCAAGGGUAUGGGUCACUGGAAGCGCAAUUGCCCCAAGUAUUUGGCAGAUAAGAAGGCGGCCAAAGAAAAAUCAGGUAUAUUUGAUAUACAUGUUAUUGAUGUAUACUUAACCGGCUCUCGUAGUAGUGCCUGGGUAUUCGAUACCGGUUCUGUUACUCAUAUUUGCAACUCGAAACAGGAACUGCGGAAUAGACGGAGGCUGGCGAAAGAUGAAGUGACGAUGCGCGUAGGAAAUGGUUCCAAGGUUGAUGCAAUCGCCGUCGGCACAGUGUCACUUCAAUUACCAUCAGGAUUAGUGAUGAACUUAAAUCAUUGUUAUUUAGUGCCUGCGUUGAGCAUGAACAUUAUAUCUGAAUCUUGUUUAUUGCGAGACGGUUACUCUUUUAAGUCGGAGAAUAAUGGUUGUUCUAUUUCUAUGAGUAACAUCUUUUAUGGUCAUGCACCGAAUGUGAGAGGAUUGUUCAUAUUGAAUCUUGAUAGCGAUACGCAUGUACAUAACAUGGAGACCAAAAGAGUUAGAGUUAACAAUGAUAGCGCCAUAUUUUUGUGGCAGUGCCGCUUAGGUCAUAUUGGUGUAAAGCGCAUGAAGAAACUCCAUGCUGAUGGACUUUUGGAGUCACUUGACUUUGAUUCACUUGACACGUGCGAACCAUGCCUCAUGGGCAAGAUGACUAAAACUCCGGUCUCCGGAACAAUGGAGCGUGCAAGUGACUUGUUGGAAAUCAUACAUACCGAUGUGUGUGGUCCGAUGAGCGUGGAGGCACGCGGCGGAUAUCGUUAUUUUCUCACCUUCACUGACGAUUUGAGUAGAUAUGGUUAUGUGUACUUGAUGAAGCACAAGUCUGAAAUAUUUGAAAAGUUCAAGCAAUUUCAGAGUGAAGUGGAAAAUCAUCGUAACAAGAAGAUCAAGUUCCUACGGUCUGAUCGUGGGGGUGAAUAUCUGAGUUUCGAGUUUUGUGCUCACUUAAGACAAUGUGGAAUUGUUUCACAGUUAACACCGCCUGGAACACCACAGCGUAAUGGUGUGUCCGAACGUCGUAAUCGUACUCUAUUAGAGAUGGUGCGAUCUCUGAUGUCUCUUACUGAUUUGCCGUUAUCAUUUUGGGGUUAUGCAUUAGAAACAGCUGCAUUCACUUUAAAUAGGGCACCAUCAAAAUCCGUUGAGACGACACCAUACGAACUGUGGUAUGGCAAAAGGCCAAAGUUGUCGUUUCUUAAAGUUUGGGGAUGUGAUGCUUAUGUCAAAAAGCUUCAGCCUGAAAAGCUGGAACCCAAAGCGGAAAAGUGCGUCUUCAUAGGUUACCCGAAAGAGACAGUUGGGUACACCUUCUAUCUCAAAUCCGAGGGCAAAGUGUUUGUUGCUAAAAACGGAGCUUUUCUCGAGAAGGAGUUUCUCUCGAGAGAAUUGAGUGGGAGGAAGAUAGAACUUGACGAGGUUGUCGAACCUCUCAUCCCUCUGGAUGGUGGCGCAGGGCAAGGGGAAACCUCUGUCAUUGCGACGCCGGUUGAGGAGGAAGUUAAUGAUGAUGAUCAUGAAACUCCGGUUCAAGUUUCUGUCGAACCACGUAGGUCGACGAGACCACGUGCUGCUCCAGAGUGGUACGGUAAUCCCGUCUAAUCAAUCAUGUUGUUAGACAACAAUGAACCUGCGAAUUAUAAAGAAGCAAUGGUGGGCCCAGAUUCCAACAAAUGGCUGGAAGCCAUGAUGUCCGAGAUAGGAUCCAUGUAUGAGAACAAAGUGUGGACUUUGGAGGUACUACCUGAGGGCCGCAAGGCUAUUCAGAACAAAUGGAUCUUUAAGAGGAAGACGGACGCUGACGGCAAUGUGACCGUUUAUAAAGCUCGACUUGUGGCAAAUGGUUUUUCACAAGUUCAAGGAGUUGACUACGAUGAGACAUUCUCUCCCGUAGCGAUGCUUAAGUCCUCCAGAAUCAUGUUAGCAAUAGCUGCAUUUUUCGAUUAUGAAAUCUGGCAGAUGGAUGUCAAAAUGGCGUUCCUUAACGGUUUCCUUAAGGAAGAGUUGUAUAUGAUACAACCCGAAGGUUUUGUCGAUCCUAAGAAUGCUAACAAGGUGUGCAAGCUCCAGCGAUCCAUUUAUGGACUGGUGCAAGCAUCUCGGAGUUGGAACAAAUGCUUUGAUGAGGUGAUCAAAGCAUUUGGGUUUAUACAAGUGGUUGGAGAAUCUUGUAUUUACAAGAAAGUGAGUGGGAGCUCUGUGGCGUUUCUAAUAUUAUAUGUGGAUGACAUAUUGCUGAUUGGAAACAACGUGGAGUUUUUAGAGAGCAUAAAGGAUUACUUGAAUAGGAGUUUCUCUAUGAAGGACCUAGGAGAAGCUGCUUACAUUCUAGGCAUUAAGAUCUAUAGGGAUAGAUCAAAACGCCUGAUAGGACUUUCACAAAGCACAUACCUUGAUAAAGUUUUGAAGAGGUUCAAAAUGGAACAGUCCAAGAAAGGGUUCUUGCCAGUUUUACAAGGUACGAGAUUGAGUAAGACUCAGUGCCCAGCAACUGAUGAAGAUAGAGAGCAUAUGCGCUCCGUCCCCUAUGCUUCAGCCAUAGGUUCUAUCAUGUAUGCAAUGUUGUGCACUAGACCGGAUGUUAGCCUGGCCAUAAGUAUGGCAGGUAGGUUCCAGAGUAAUCCAGGAGUGGAUCACUGGACAGCGGUCAAGAAUAUCCUGAAGUACCUGAAAAGGACUAAGGAGAUGUUUCUCGUGUAUGGAGGUGACGAAGAGCUCGCCAUAAAAGGUUACGUCGAUGCAAGCUUUGACACAGAUCCGGACGACUCUAAGUCGCAAACCGGAGACGUAUUUAUUCUUAUGGGGGUGCGGUAAGCUGGUACAGUUCCAAGCAAAGCGUCGUAGCAGAUUCUACAUGUGAAGUGGAGUACAUGGCUGCCUCGGAGGCGGCCAAGGAGGGUGUCUGGAUGAAGCAGUUCAUGACGGAUCUUGGAGUGGUGCCAAGCACACUGAAUCCUAUAACCUUGUUCUGUGACAACACGGGUGCCAUUGCCUUAGCAAAGGAACCACGGUUUCACAAGAAGACCAAACACAUCAAACGACGCUUCAACCUCAUCCGCGACUACGUCGAGGGAGAGGACGUAAAUAUAUGCAAAGUGCACACGGAUCUGAAUGUAGCAGACCCGCUGACUAAACCUCUUCCAUGGUCAAAACAUGAUCAACACCAGAACUGUAUGGGUGUUAGAUUUAUUACAAUGUAAUUCACAUAAUGAUGUGAGGGCUAGAUUAUUGACUCUAGUGCAAGUGGGAGACUGUUGGAAUUAUGCCCUAGAGGGAAUAAUAAAUAUAGUUAUUAUUGUAAUUCCUGUAUCAAGAUAAUCGUUUAUUAUCCAUGCUAUAAUUGUAUUGAAUGAAGACUCAUUUACAUGUGUGGAUACAUAGACAAAACACCGUCCCUAGCAAGCCUCUAGUUGGCUAGCCAGUUGAUCAAAGAUAGUCAGUGUCUUCUGGUUAUGAACAAGGUGUUGUUGCUUGAUAACUGGAUCACGUCAUUAGGAGAAUCACGUGAUGGACUAGACCCAAACUAAUAGACGUAGCAUGUUGAUCGUGUCAUUUUAUUGCUACUGUUUUCUGCGUGUCAAGUAUUUAUUCCUAUGACCAUGAGAUCAUAUAACUCACUGACACCGGAGGAAUACUUUCUGUGUAUCAAACGUCGCAAUGUAACUGGGUGACUAUAAAGAUGCUCUACAGGUAUCUCCGAAGGUGUUAGUUGAGUUAGUAUGGAUCAAGACUGGGAUUUGUCACUCCGUGUGACGGAGAGGUAUCUCGGGGCCCACUCGGUAAUACAACAUCACACACAAGCCUUGCAAGCAAUGUACCUUAGUGUAAGUUGCGAGAUCUUGUAUUACGGAACGAGUAAAGAGACUUGCGGGUAAACGAGAUUGAAAUAGGUAUGCGGAUACUGACUAUCAAAUCUCGGGCAAGUAACAUACCGAAGGACAAAGGGAAUGACAUACGGGAUUAUAUGAAUCCUUGGCACUAAGGUUCAAACGAUAAGAUCUUCGUAGAAUAUGUAGGAUCCAAUAUGGGCAUCCAGGUCCCGCUAUUGGAUAUUGACCGAGGAGUCUCUCGGGUCAUGUCUACAUAGUUCUCGAACCCGCAGGGUCUGCACACUUAAGGUUCGACGUUGUUUUAUGCGUAUUUGAGUUAUAUGGUUGGUUACCGAAUGUUGUUCGGAGUCCCGGAUGAGAUCACAGACGUCACGAGGGUUUCCGGAAUAGUUCGGAAACGAAGAUUGAUAUAUAGGAUGACCUCAUUUGAUUACCGGAAGGUUUUCGGAGUUACCGGGAAUGUACCGGGAAUGACGAAUGGGUUCCGGGAGUUCACCGGGGGGGGGGUCAACCCACCCCGGGGAAGCCCAUAGGCCAUAAGGGUGGCGCACUAGCCCUUAGUGGGAUGGUGGGACAGCCCAAAAGGGCCCUAUGCGCCAUACAAAGGAAAAUCAAAGAGAAAGAAAAAAAAAGGCUGGUGGGAAUGAAGGGAAGGACUCCCACCCACCAAACCAAGUCCAACUCGGUUUGGGGGGGAGCCUUCCCCCCUUGGACUCGGCCGACCCCCUUGGGGCUCCUUGAGCCCCAAGGCAAGGUCCCCUCCCUCCCACCUAUAUAUACGGAGGUAUUGGGGCUGAUUUGAGACGACUUUUCCACGGCAGCCCGACCACAUACCUCCACGGUUUUUCCUCUAGAUCGCGUUUCUGCGGAGCUCGGGCGGAGCCCUGCUGAUACAAGGUCAUCACCAACCUCCGGAGCGCCGCCACGCUGCCGGAGAACUCUUCUACCUCUCCGUCUCUCUUGCUGGAUCAAGAAGGCCGAGAUCAUCGUCGAGCUGUACGUGUGCUGAACGCGGAGGUGCCGUCCGUUCGGUACUAGAUCGUGGGAUUGAUCGCGGGAUUGUUCGCGGGGCGAAUCGAGGGACGUGAGGACGUUCCACUACAUCAACCGCGUUCACUAACGCUUCUGCUGUACGAUCUACAAGGGUACGUAGAUCACUCAUCCCCUCUCGUAGAUGGACAUCACCAUGAUACGUCUUCGUGCGCGUAGGAAAAUUUUUGUUUCCCAUGCGACGUUCCCCACCACCUUUGUCCAUGAGAACAUCACCCAAAACUUGAAAACUUCACAACAGAAAACUUAAACAGAAACUCGUGAUAUCAUUAGCACAAGAAAACAAACUACCACCUCUUGAGUUACUGUAGCAAACUUUAUUUCUAUUUAUAUUGGUGUUAGAUUACUGUAUUCUCACUUUCCAUUGGCUAGUACCCCCCGAAACUAUCCAUAGUUUCAUCAAAAUAAGCAAUCAACACAACAAAAACAGAACCUGUCAAAAACAGACCAGUCUGUAGCAAUCUGUAUACUUCUGGUAUCUCAAAAAUUCUGAAACAUUAAGACAGUUUGUGAAAUUGGCAUAUAGACCAGCAGCAAAAAUAAUCAACUCAAAAGCUCUUUCUGGAUAAAAAUUAAAAAUAAUUGUGUGAGCGAAAAGUUUCUAUCUUUUUCCAGCAGGAUCAAACAACCAUCACCAAACUAAUCAUAAAGGUUUUACUUGGCUCAAACACAAAAAGAAACACAAAAGACACAAUCAUAACAGAAUUAUGAUGGUGUGGACGCAACAAAACAGAAAACAAAAAAGCAAAGAUAAAUUCAUUGGUUGCCUCCCAACAAGCGCUAUUGUUUAACACCCUUAGCUAGGCAUAAGGCGAUAGAAUCACGUAUCGUCGUCUUUGGCACUCAAACCAUAAGUAGCCCUCAUCAUGGAUUCAUAAGGCAAUCUUAUUUCUUUCUAGGAAAAUGUUCCAUGCCCUUCUUUAAAGGAAAUUGAAAUCUAAUAUUCCCUUCCUUCAUAUCGAUGACAGCACCAAUAGUCCUUAGGAAAGGUCUACCAAGAAUGAUAGGACAUGUAGGAUUGCAAUCAAUAUCAAGCACAAUGAAAUCUACGGGUACAUAGUUCCUAUUUGCAAUAAUAAGAACAUCAUUGAUCCUUCCCAUAGGUUUCUUAACAGUAGAAUCCGCAAGAUGCAAAUUAAGAGAGCACUCAUCAAUCUCAUUAAAGCCUAGAACAUCACAUAAAGACUUUGGAAUCGCGGAAACACUAGCACCCAAAUCACACAAAGCAUUGCAUUCGUAGUUUUCGAUCUUGAUUUUGAUAGUAGGUUCCCACUCAUCAUGAAGUUUUCUAGGAAUAGAGACUUCCAAUUCAAGUUUCUCUUCAAGAGAUUUCAUCAUAGCAUCGACGAUAUGAUCGGUAAAGGCCUUGUUUUGGCUAUAAGCGUGUGGAGAGUUUAGCAUGGAUUGCAUCAAGGAAAUACAUACAAUCAUAGAGCAACUAUCAUAAUUGAAUUCCUUGAAAUCCAAAGUAGUAGUUUCAUUACUACUCAAAGUUUUGAUAUCCUCUACUCCACUUUCAAUACUUUUAGCAUCAAGAUAGAUAGACUCCGAAUCAUUGGGGAGUUUUUCAACCAAAGUGGAUUCGUAUACAGGUCCAUCAUCAUUAGGUUUGACACUAGAAAACAAGGAUUCAAUGGGAGUCACACCAAGCACUUUAAGAUCUUCAUGAUUCUUAUCAUGAGAACACGCCUUUUUAAGCCAUUCAUGUCUAGCACGAAUUUGGGCGGUUCUUUCUUUACUCUCAUUCAUGGAAACACGCAUAGCUUUCAAAGUUUCAUCCAUAUUGAUCUUGGGAGGAGCACAUCUAACUUUCAAAGCAUCAAUAUCAAGAGACAUUCUAUCAACGCUCCUAGCCAAAUCAUCAAUUUUGAGUAGUUUUUCCUGUAUGGACGGAUUGAAAAUCUUCUGCGAGUUGAUAAACUCUUUAAUAUUACUCUCUAGAUCAGAGGGUAAUUUAUUAUAAUUUCCAUGAGCAUUGUUGUAGGAGUUGCCAAAGUUAUUAGAGGGAUUACUAGGAAAAGGCCUAGGAACAUAGUUUCCUCUAAAAGCAUUGUUGUUGCCAAAAUUAUUCCUACCAACAAAAUUAACGUCCAAGCUUUCGUUGCUACUCUCAAUCAAGGAAGACAAGGGCAUAUCAUUUGGAUCUAAAGGAGCACCUUUACUAGCAAACAAUUUCAUUAACUCAUCCAUCUUAGCACUCAACGAGUUAAUUUCUUCUAUAGCGUGUACCUUCUUACUAGUAGGUGACCUUUCAGUGUGCCACUGAGAAUGGUUUGUCAUGAUAUUGUCUUUCAUAACAAGAUUCAGCAAAGCAGCAUUGAUUUCAUAUGAUUCCGCACUAGUGGCAGGAGCAAUUGGAGUAUUAAUAAAAUCAUUAUUAUUAGUACUCGAGAAGUCACAAAGUUUGGUGUUUUCAGUCAUGGUGACUUCAGCAAACAGACAAGCACACAAGCGAACAGAAAGCAAGCGAAAGAAAAGGGCGAACGAAAAAGGCAAAUAUUUUUGUAAAUUUUAGUUUUUCAGAAGUGGGGGAGAGGAAAACGAGAGGCAAAAAAGUAAAUGCAAGAGAUGAGUUUGCAACACUUACUUGGAUAAGCUUCACUUGAUGCUUCCCGGCAACGGCGCCAGAAAUUCUUCUUGCUACCUCUUGAGCUUGUGUUGGUUUUUUCCCUUGAAGAGGAAAGGGUGAUGCAACAUAGUAGCAGUAAGUAUUUCCCUCAGUUUGAGAACCAAGGUAUCAAUCCAGUAGGAGUAUCAAAGACGAAGCACCAAUGUACCUGCGCAAAAACAGCAAACUUGCACCCAACGCUACAAAGGGGUUGUCAAUCCCUUCACGAUUGAUUGCAAGGUGAGGUCUGAAGGCGGAAAGUUCAACAAAGUAAAAGUGUAAGGCUAAAAAUAUGAUGUGAAGUAGACCCGGGGGCCAUAGUGUUCACUAGAGGCUUCUCAAGAUAGCAAAUAUUACGGUGGGUGAACGAAUUACUGUCGAACAAUUAAUAGAACCGCGCAAAGUCAUGACGAUAUCUAAGGCAAUAAUCAUACAUAUAGGCAUCAUGUCCGAGACAAGUAGAUCGAUACUUUCUGCAUCUACUACUAUUACUCCACACAUCGACCGCUAUCCAGCAUGCAUCUAGUGUAUUGAGUUCAUGACGAACAGAGUAGUGCUUUAAGCAAGAUGACAUGAUGUAGAGGGAUAAAUUCAUGCAAUAGAUAUAAACCCCAUCUUUUUACCCUUGAUGGCGACAACAUGAUGCGUGCCUCGCUACCCCUUCUGUCACUGGGUGAGGUCACCGCACGGUAUGAACCCAAAACCAAGCACUUCUACCAUUGCAAGAAUCAUAGAUCAAGUUGGGCAAAUAAAACCCACAACUCGAAGAGAAUUAGAAGGAUAUGAAAUCAUGCAUAUAAGAGAUCUGAAGAAACUCAAAUAAGAUUUAUAGAUAAUCUGAUCAUAAAUCCACAUUUCAUCGGAUCUCGACAAACACACCGCAAAAGAAGAUUACAUCGGAUAGAUCUCCAUGAAGAUCAUGGAUAACUUUGUAUUGAAGAUCCAAGAGAGAGAAGAAGCCAUCUAGCUACUAGCUAUGGACUUGAAGGUCUAUGGUGAACUACUCACGCAUCAUCGAAGAGGCAAUGGUGGUGAUGAAGAAGCCCUCUGUAUUUGAAUCCCCCCUCCGACAGGGCACCAGAACGUGCCCCAGAUGGGAUCUUGCGAAGACAGAAGCUUGCGGCUGCGGAAAAGUAUUUUCGUGGAUCUCUUCCAUGGUUUUGGAUUUUUCAGGGAUUUAUAGGUGGAAGAAGUAGGGAAGAGGAGCCCCAUGGGGCCCACAAGCCUGCUAGGCGCGGCCCUCCUGGCCGCGCCUAGGGGGCUUGUGACCUCCCCUGGUGGCCUCUGCCUUGGUUCUCAAGCUUCGUGCCUAUCUUCUGUUCCGGAAAAAAUAUUUGUGGAGGUUUUAUUCCAUUUGGACUCCGUUUAAUAUUCUCCUAUGAAAAGGGUCAAUAACAUGGAAAAAAUAGGAACUGGCACUUGGCACUGAGUUAAUAAGUUAGUCCCAAAAAAGAUAUAGAAGGCAUACAAAACAUCCAAAGUUUGACAAGAUAAUAGCAUGGAACCAUCAAAAAUUAUAGAUACGUUGGAGACGUAUCACGGAGAAACCCUAGUGCAGAUGGGCCUAAGGCUCAUGUGGGGGCGCCACCCCCUCUCCCUUUCCCUGGCUGCCACAACCUGCCCCAUCUAGGGCUGUCGCCCCCCUUUAGGGUGGGAAACCCUAAAGGGGGCGCCACCCUCCUUUCCCCCUAUAUAUAGCGGGGUUUUUUGGCCUUUGAGAACACGGUUUUCCAUCUCUCUCAGUGCAUCUCUGUCUCUCUUCUUCCUCCUCUCCGACGGUGCUUGGCGAAGCCCUGCCGGGAGACCUCGUCUCUCCAUCGACACCACGCCGUCGUGUUGUCGGAGAUCUUCCCCAACCUCUCCCUCCUCCUUGCUGGAUCAAGGUGCGGAAGACGUCACCGGGCUACACGUGUGUCGAACGCGGAGGUGCCGUGAUUCGGCACUAGAUCGGAAUCACACCGCGAUCUGAAUCGCCACGAGUACGACUCCAUCUACCGCGUUCUAGCAACGCUUCCGCUUAGUGAUCUUCAAAGGUAUGAAGAUGCACUCUCCCCUCUCUCUUUGCUAGUUUCUCCAUAGGAAGAUCUGAAUAUGGCGUAGGAAAUUUUUUGAAUUUAUGUUACGUUCACCAACAGUGGCAUCCGAGCCAGGUUUUCUAUACGUAGAUUCUAUGCACGAGUAGAACACAAAAGAGUUGUGGGCGCUGAUUUUGUAAAUUGCUUGCCGCUACUAGUCUUAUUCUUUUCCGGCGGUAUUGUGGGAUGAAGCGGCCCGGACCGCCUUUACACGUACGCUUACGUGAGACAGGUUCCACCAGCCGACAUGCACACCGUGCAUAAAGGUGGCUAGCGGGUGUCUGUCUCUCCCACUCUAGUCGGAUUUGAUUUGAUGAAAAGGUUCCUUAUGAAGGGUAAGUAGCUUUGGCAUAUCAUUGUUGUGGCUGUCAUGUAGUUAAGAAGGCGUUCUUGCUAGAAACCCAAAUCAGCCACGUAAAACUUGCAACAACAAUUAGAGGACGUCUAACUUGUUUUUGCACGGUUUGACAUGUGAUGUGAUAUGGCCAAAGUUGUGAUGUUACAUGUGUAAUGUAUGAGAUGAUCAUGUUAUUGUAAUAGGAUUCACGACUUGCAUGUCAUUGAGUAUGAAAACCGACACGAGCCAUAGGAGUUGUCUUAAUUUAUUGUAUGAGAUGCAACGCCAUGUGUUUACUACUUUUACUUCAUUGCUAACGGUUAGCUAUAGUAGUAGUAGUAGUAGUAGUUGGCGUGAUGACUUCACGGAGACACGAUGAUGGAGUUCAUGGUGUCACGCCGGUGACAAUGAUGAUCAUGCGAUGCCCGAAGAUGGAGAUCGAAAGAGAAAAGAUGAUAAUGGUUAUAUCAUGUCAUUAUAUGAUUGCAUGUGAUGUUUAUCAUGUUUUUCAUCUUAUUGCUUAGAACGACGGUAGCAUAAUAAGAUGAUCCCUCAUAAAUUUUUUGAGAACGUAUUCCCCUAAGUGUGCACCGUUGCAAAGGAUCGUUGUCUCGAAGCACCACGUGAUGAUCGGGUGUGAUAGAUUCUAACAUUCGCGUACAACGGGUGUAAGCCAGAUUUACACACGCGAAACACUUAGGUUGACUCGACGAGAUUAGCAUGUACAGACAUGACCUCGAAUACAAGAGACCGAAAGGUCAAACAUGAGUCGUAUGGUUGAAUACGAUCAGCAUGAAGUUGCUCACCAUGACGACUAGUCAGUCUCACGUGAUGAUCGGACAUGGGUUAGUCGACAUGGAUCAUGUAUCACUUAAAUGACUAGAUGGAUGUCGAUUUAAGUGGGAAUUCAUCAGAUGGACUUAAUUAUCAUGAACAUAGUCAAAUAGGUCUUUGCAAAUUAUGUAACUUGCGCUAUAGCUCUACGGUAUUUGAUAUGUUCCUAGAGAAAUCUUAGUUGAAAGAUAGAAGUAGCAAUUGCGCGGACUGGGUCCGUUGACUCAGGAUUGUCCACAUUGCUAUGCAGAAGGCUUAUGUCUUUAAUGCACCGCUCAGUGUGCUAAACCCCAAGCAUGGUCUGUAGAUGUUGCGAACAUCCGACAUACAUAUUUUUGAUAACUACAUGAUAGUUCAGUGCGUGUUGCUUGAACAACUUAGAAUUAAGGCAUUAAAGACGUUUCAAAUGUCGCGGGACAUACGUGAUGAUCCAAGAGAUGAAAUUGGGAUUUCAUGCUCGUGCCCUUGUUGAGAGGUAUGAGACCUCCGACGAGAUUCUUUGCUUGCAAAGUAAAGGAUAAGAGCUCAAUCGUAGAGCAUAUGCUCAGAUUGUCUGAGUACUACAAUCGCUUGAAUCGAGUGGGAGUUGAACUUCCACAUGAGACAGUGAUAGUUCUCCACAGUCACUGACACCAAGCUACUAGAGCUUGGUGAUGAACUAUAACAUAUCAAGGAUGGAUAUGAUGAUCCUUGAGCCAUUCGUGAUGUUUGACAUCACGAAAGUAGAAGUCAAAAGGGAACAUCAAUUGUUGAUGGUUUGUAAAACCACUAGUUUCAAGAAGGGAAAGGGCUUGAAGGGAUAUUACAUUAAACGACAAACCAGUUGUUGCUCUAUUACGAUAUCCAAGGUUGAACCCAAACCCGAGACUAAGUGCUUAUGAAAUAAGGGGAACAGUCACCAAAGAGGAACUGCACUAGACACUUGGUAGAUGAGAAGGCUGGCAAAGUCGACAGAAGUAUAUUGGAUAUACAUGAUAUUGAUGUGUACUUUAUUAGUACUCCUAGAAGCACCAGGGUAUUAGAUACCGGUUCGGUUGCUAAGUGUUAGUAACUCGAAAUAAAAGCUACGGUAUAAACAGAGACUAGUUAAAGGCGAGGUGACGAUGUGUGUGUUUCCAAGGUUGAUAUGAUCACAUAUCGCACGCUCCCUCUACCAUCGAGAAUAGUGUUAAACCUAAAUAAUUUUUAUUUGGUGUUUGCGUUGAGCAUAGACAUGAUUGGAUUAUGUUAAUGGCAAAUACAAUUAUUCAUCUAAAGAGAAUAAUGGUUAUUCUGUUUACUUGAAUCAUACCUUAAAUGGUCUUACACCUAGAAUGAAUGGUUAAUUGAAUCUCGAUCGUAGUGAUACACAUGUUCAUAAUAUUGUUACUAAAAGAUACAAAAUAGUAGUGAUAGUACCACUUACUUGUGGCACUGCUACUUGAGUCAUAUUGAUAUAAAAUGCAUGAAGAAGCUCCAUGCGGAUGGAUCGUUUGACUCACUUGAUUUUUGAAUCACACGAGACAUGCAAAUCAAACCACAUGGGCAAGAUGACUGAAGACCUCUUUUUCAGUGAGAUGGAACAAGAAUGUAACUUGUUGGAAGUAAUACAUUUUGAUGUCUGCACUCCGAUGAGUACUGAGGCAUGCAGUGGAUAUCAUUGUGUUCAUACUUCACAAAUGAUUUGAGUAGAUACCAGUGUAUUUACUUGAUAACACAGAAAUCUGAAUCAUUGAAAGGUUCAAGUAAUUUCAGAGUAAAGUUGAAGAUCAUCGUGACAAAAGGAUAAUAUGUCUACGAUGUGAUAGUGGAGGUAAACAUAUAUAUCCGAGUUACGAGUUUGAUAAACAUUUAAGACAAUGUGAAAAUAGUUUCACGUGAAAAAUGUUUCACAACUCAUGCCACCUGGAACACCAUAGUCUCAUGGUGUGUCUGUAUGUCAUAGUCGUGCCCUAUUAGAUAUAGUGCAUACUAUGAUAUUUAUUAUCAAAUUACCAAUAUCGUUUAUGGAUUAGGCAUUAGAGACAACCGCAUUCACUUUAAAUAGGUGGUACGCCCAUUUUGCAUCAUUCUUUCAUUGCUUUCUGGGCUGUUAUAUUACUUGUGGUACCAUAUUUAUUGCUUUUUGGGCUGUUAUAUUACUUGUGGUACCAUAUUUAUGCCUUUUCUCUCUUAUUUUGCAAGGAUUAUUUGAAGAGGGAGAAUUCAGACAGCUGGAAUUCUGGACUGGAAAAGGAGCAAACCCUAGUCCACUAUUCUGCACAUCUCCAAAUGCCCUGAAAAUUUACGUGGAUUUUUUCUGGAAUAUAUUAAAAAUACUGAGCGAAAGAACUACCGGAGGGGGGCCACCAGGGCCCCACAAGCCCCCACUCUGCCACCACCCCCUGGUGGCGGUGGGCAAGCUUGUGGGCUGCCUGAAGGCCCACUAGCCCCCCUCUUUUGCUAUAUGAAGCGUCCUGGUCUAGAAAAAAAAUCAUAAGGGAGCUUUUUCGUGGUUUCGCCGCCGCCACGAGGUGGAACUUGAGCAGAUACAAUCUAGAGCUCCGGGAGGAUGAUCCUGCCGGGGAAACUUCCCUCCUGGAUGGGGAAAUCGUCGCCAUCGUCAUCACCAACACUCCUCUCGUCGGAGGGGAGGCAUCUGCAUCAACAUCUUCAUCAGCACCAUCUCCUCUCCAAUCCCUAGUUCAUCUCUUGUAACCAAUCUUCGUCUCGCAACUCCGAUUGGUACUUGUAAGGUUGCUAGUAGUGUUGAUUACUCUUUGUAGUUGAUGCUAGUUGGAUUAUUUGGUGGAAGAGUUUAUGUUCAGAUCCUUGAUGCUAUUCAUUACACCUCUGGUCAUCAUUAUGAUUAUGUCUUGUGAGUAGUUACUUUUGUUCCUGAGGACAUGGGAUAAGUCAUGCUGAUAAUAGUCAUGUGAAUUUGAUAUUCGUUCGGUAUUUUGAUAUGUUGUAUGUUGUUUUUCCUCUAGUGGUGUUAUGUGAACGUCGACUACAUAACACUUCACCAUAUUUGGGCCUACAGGAAGGAAUUGGGAAGUAGUAAGUAGAUGAUGGGUUGCUGGAGUGACAGAAGCUUAAACCCCAGUCUAUGUGUUGCUUCGUGAGGGGCUGAUUUGGAUCCACUAGUUUAAUGCUAUGGUUAGACUUUGUCUUAAUUCUACUUUUGUAGUUGCGGAUGCUUGCGAGAGAGGUUAAUCAUAAGUGGGAUGCUUCUCCAAGUAAGGGCAGUACCCAAGCGCCGGUCCACCCACAUAUCAAACUAUCAAAGUAAAGAACGCGAAUCAUAUGAACAUGAUGAAACUAGCAUGACAGAAAUUCCCGUGUGUCCUCGGGAGCGUUUGUCCUCCUAUAAGACUUUGUUCAGGCUUGUCCCUUGCUACAAAAGGGAUUGGGCCACUUGCUGACCCAUUGCUACUACUUGUUACUUAUUACUCUUUGCUUGCUACGUUUCACCUCGCUACACAAUCACUUGUUACCGCUACUUUCAGUGCUUGGAGUUAUUACCUUGCUGAAAUCCGUUUAUCAGAGCCUUCUGCUCCUCGUUGGGUUCGACACUCUUACUUAUCGAAAGGACUACGAUUGAUUCCCUAUACUUGUGGGUCAUCAAGACUCUUUUCUGGCGCCGUUGGCGGGGAGUGAAGCGCCUUUAGUAAGUGGAAAUUUGUAAGGAACAUUUUUAUACUGUGCUGAAAUUUAUUGUCACUUGUCACUAUGGAAACUCUUUCUUUGAGGAGUUUGUUCGGGGUAUAUUCACCACAAACGGAAGCACGAGGAGUUGCUCCUCAACCUGAGGUACCUACUGAAAAUAUAUUUUAUGAAAUUCCUUUGGGUAUGCUUGAGAAACUGCUGGCUAAUCCUUUUACAGGAGAUGGAUCUUCACAUCCAGACUUUCAUUUAAUCUAUGUAGAUGAAGUUUGUGGUUUAUUUAAUCUUGCAGGUUUGCCCGAGGAUGAGGUAAAGAAGAAAGUCUUUCCUUUAUCUUUGAAGGAUAAGGCGUUGACAUGGUAUAGGCUAUGUGAUGGUGCUGCAUCAUGGGGCUACAAACGGUUGAAAUUGGAGUUUCAUCAAAAGUUCUAUCCUAUGCAUUUAGUACAUCGUGAUCGAAACUUUAUUUAUAACUUUUCGCCUCGUGAUAGGGAAAGCAUAGCUCAAGCUUGGGGGAGGCUUAAAUCAAUGCUAUAUUCAUGCCCCAAUCAUGAGCUCUCGAGAGAAAUCAUCACUCAAAACUUUUAUGCUCGGCUUUCUCAUGAAGAUCGUACCAUGCUUGACACUUCUUGUGCCGGUUCUUUUAUGAAGAAGGAUAUUGAUCACAAGUGGAAUUUAUUGGAGAGAAUCAAACGCAACUCUGAAGAUUGGGAGCUAGAGGAAGGUAAGGAGUCAGGUAUGAAUUUCCAGUUUGAUUAAGUUAAAUCUUUUGUUGAGACAAACACUUCUAGAGACUUUAGCGCUAAGUGUGGACUUGACUCUGAGAUAGUAGCUUCUCUAUGUGAAUCUUUUGCUGCUCAUGUUGAUCUUCCCAAAGAGAAGUGGUUUAAAUAUCAUCCUCCUGUAGAAAGCAACAUAGCCAAAACCAAUCUAGUUGAGGAGAAAAUCAUAGCUUUUAGUGAUCCUGUUGUUCCUUGUGCUUACACUGAGAAACCACCAUACCCUGCUAGGAUAAAGGAUUAUUCUAAAGCUCCAACUGUGAUACAUAGGGGUUACAUUAGAUCACUUGCACCCCCUGAGGAGAUUAGAGUCGAACCUAGUGUUGCUAUUAUCAAAGAUCUCUUAGCCGAAGAUAUAGAUGGCAUGUUAUCAAAUUCUGUGAGGACUCCGCUAGAAUUGCUAAACCUCACGUGAAAGACAAACACUGAUUUGUAGUUGGCCUGCCCGUUGUUUCUGUUAAGAUAGGAGAUCACCGUUACCAUGGUUUAUGUGAUAUGGGAGCUAGUGUUAGUGCAAUAACCCGUUCUAUAUAUGAUGAAAUCAAAGAUGAGAUUGCACCUGCUGAGUUAGAACCCCAUUGAUGUCACUAUUACGCUAGCUAAUAGAGACACUAUCUGCCCUCUGGGAAUUGUGAGAGACGUAGAAGUCCUGUGUGGUAAGACGAAGUAUCCUACUGAUUUCCUCGUCCUUGGCACUGCACAAGAUAGCUUUUGUCCCAUCAUAUUUGGUAGACCCUUUCUCAACAUUGUCAAUGCUCACAUUGAUUGCAUUAAGCAGACUGUCACAGUAUGUUUCGAGGGUGUGUCUCAUGAAUUUAACUUCUCCAAGUUUGGAAGACAAACCCAUGAAAGAGAGUCGUCUGGUAGAGAUGAAAUCAUUGCUCUUGCCUCUAUUGCUGUACCUCCUACGGACCCUUUAGAGCAAUAUCUGCUUGAGCAUGAAAAUGAUAUGCAUAUGGAGGAGAGAAUGAGAUAGAUAGAAUUUUCUUAGAACAACAUCCUAUUCUCAAGAAUAAUCUGCGUGUUGAACUGCUUGGGGAUCCUCCCCCACCAAAGGGUGAUCCUGUGUUCGAGCUUAAACAGUUGCCUGAUACUCUUAAGUAUGCCUAUCUUGAUGAGAGGGAGAUAUAUCCUGUCAUUAUUAGUGCUCUCCUCUCAGAGCGCGAAGAGAAGAAGUUACUAAAAACCCUGAGGAAGCAUCGCGCUGCUAUUGGAUAUACUCUUGAUGAUCUUAAGGGUAUUAGUCCUACUCUAUGUCAGCACAAGAUUAAAACCGAUCCUCACUUUAAACCAAUUGAUGAUCACCAAAGGAGAUUAAAUCCUAAGAUGAAAGAGGUCGUUAGAAAAGAAAUAUUAAAGCUUCUGGAAGCAGGAAUCAUUUAUCCUGUUGCUCAUAGUGAUUGGGUAAGUCCAGUACAUUGCGUACCUAAGAAGGGAGGUAUCACCGUCGUUCCUAAUGAUAAGGAUGAACUAAUCCCACAAAGGAUUAUUACCGGCUAUAGAAUGGUGAUAGACUUCUGGAAACUGAACAAGGCAACCAGGAAAGAUCAUUAUCCUUUGCCGUUCAUCGACCAAAUGCUAGAAAGGCUAUCAAAACACACACACUUCUGCUUUCUAGACGGUUAUUCAGGUUUCUUGCAAAUACCUAUUGCACAAUCUGAUCAAGAGAAAACCACUUUCACAUGCCCUUUCGGUACCUUUGCCUAUAGACUUAUGCCUUUUGGCUUAUGUAAUGCACCUGCCACCUUCCAAAGAUGUAUGAUGGCUAUAUUCUCUGACUUUUGUGAGAAGAUUGUCGAGGUUAUCAUGGAUGACUUCUCCGUUUACGGGUCUUCCUUUGAUGAUUGCCUCAGCAACCUUGAUCGAGUCUUACAGAGAUGCGAAGAAACCAACCUUGUCUUGAAUUGGGAGAAGUGCCACUUUAUGGUUAAUGAAGGUAUCGUCUUAGGACACAAUAUCUCUGAAAGAGGCCUUGAAGUUGAUAAGGCUAAGGUUGAUGCAAUUGAGAAAAUGCCUUGCCCCACAGAUAUUAGAGGUAUACGAAGUUUCUUAGGUCAUGCUAGUUUCUAUAGAAGGUUCAUUAAAGACUUCUCUAAGAUUUCUAGGCCUCUUACCAACCUCUUGCAGAAGGAUGUUCCUUUUGUUUUUGAUGAGGAUUGUGAGGAAGCCUUUGAAAUACUUAAGAAGGCUUUGAUAACCGCACCUAUUGUUUAGCCACCUUACUGGAACUUGCCCUUUGAGAUCAUGUGUGACGCUAGUGAUUAUGUUGUUGGUGUUGUUCUAGGACAAAGAGUUGACAAGAAGUUGAAUGUCAUUCACUACGCUAGUAAAACUCUAGACAGUGCCCAAAGAAACUAUGCCACUACGGAAAAGGAAUUUUUAGCAGUCGUGUUUGCAUGUGAAAAGUUCAGAUCUUACAUAGUUGACUCCAAAGUCACUAUUCACUCUGAUCAUGCUACUAUUAAGUACCUUAUGCAGAAGAAGGACGCUAAGCCUAGGCUGAUCAGAUGGGUUCUCCUGCUACAAGAAUUUGAUUUGCACGUCAUUGACCGAAAGGGUGCUGAUAACCCUGUAGCAGAUAACUUGUCUAGGCUAGAGAAUGUCCUUGAUGACCCACUACCAAUUGAUGACAGCUUUCCUGAUGAGCAACUAAAUGUCAUCCACACUUCACUUAGUGCACCGUGGUAUGCCGAUUAUGCAAACUAUAUCGUAGCCAAAUACAUACCACCCAGUUUCACCUAUCAACGAAAGAAGAAAUUCUUCUUUGAUUUGAGACACUACUUUUGGGAUGAUCCUCACCUUUAUAAGGAAGGAGUAGAUGGUGUUAUUAGACGUUGUGUGCCUGAACAUGAACAGGGACACAUCCUGCAGAAGUGUCAUUCCGAAGCCUACGGAGGACACCAUGCUGGAGAUAGAACUGCCCAUAAGGUAUUGCAAUCAGGUUUCUAUUGGCCCACUCUCUUCAAGGAUGCUCGUAAGUUUGUAUUGUCUUAUGACGAAUGCCAAAGGAUAGGGAACAUCAGUAAGCGUCAAGAGAUGCCUAUGAACUAUUCACUUGUCAUUGAACCAUUUGAUGUCCAGGGCUUUGAUUAUAUGGGACCCUUCCCGAGUUCCAAUGGGUACACUCACAUCUUAGUUGUUGUGGAUUAUGUUACUAAGUGGGUAGAAGAUAUCCCCACUAAAAAUGCUGAUCACCACACCUCUAUUAAGAUGCUUAAAGAAGUCAUAUUCCCAAGAUUUGGAGUCCCUACAUACUUGAUGACUAAUGGCGGUUCACACUUCAUUCAUGGUGUUUUCCGUAAGAUGCUAGCUAAGUAUGAUGACAACCAUAGAGUUGCAUCUCCUUAUCAUCCUCGGUCCAGUGGUCAAGUUGAGUUGAGUAAUAGGGAGAUCAAGUUGAUCCUACAAAAGACCGUCAAUAGAUCUUGAAAGAACUGGUCUAGCAAACUUGACGAUGCACUAUGGGCUUAUAGGACUACUUAUAAGAAUCCCAUGGGCAUGUCAUUGUAUAAAAUGGUUUACGGUAAGGCCUGUCAUUUACCUCUUGAGCUGGAACACAAAGCUUAUUGGGCAAUCAAAGAGCUCAACUUUGAUUUCAAACUUGCCGGUGAGAAGCGGUUGUGUGAUAUCAGCUCGUUAGAUGAAUGGAGAUCCCAGGCAUAUGAAAAUGCCAGGUUGUUCAAGGAAAAGUUUAAGAGAUGGCACGACAAACGAAUACAGAAACGAGAGUUCAAUGUAGGUGAUUAUGACUUGCUAUACAAUUAUCGUUUGAGAUUCUUUGCAGGCAAGCUUCUCUCUAAAUGGGAAGGUCCCUAUGUUGUCGAGGAAGUAUAUCGUUCUGGUGCCAUCAAAAUCAAUAACACAGAAGGAAAUUUUCCUAGAGUGGUAAAUGGGCAAAGAAUCAAGCAUUACAUCUCUGGUACUCCCAUAAAUGUUGAGACCAAUAUCAUCAAUGUCAUAACUCUAGAGGAGUACAUAAGGGAUGUUUAUCAGCCUGCUUCAGACCUUGAAAAGGAAGAUGUAUAUGUUUGGGCAAGAAAUUGGACUCCGGUACUUUUCCAAUAGGAAAUUUCCUCAGUUUUGGAAUUUUUGGAAAAUUAGAAAAAUAAAAAGCAGUCCGGAGAGCAAACGAGGUAGCCACAAGGGCCCACUCCGCCACCACCCCCCUGGUGGCGGUGGGCAAGCUUGUGGGCACCUCGUGUGCCUCCUGGACUCCGUUUUCUUGCGGAGGACUCCUUCUGGCCCAGAAAAAAUCAAUAUAUAGUCGCCCGAAGGUUUUGAUCUCCGUAUCGUGCAGUUUUGCUCUGUUUUCGUUUCGAGCUUGUUCUACCGCAGAUUUAGGUCAAGAUGUCUUCCCAAGAUUCAAAGGGAGAGAGCUUCGUGGCUGACUACCAUGCUAACCCCAAGGUCUAUGGGGACUUGGAACCAUAUGGCUGGACCACUGAUGAGGAAGAGGACUAUGAGCCCAAAGGGAAGGAGCAAACGAGUCCCGAUGAAGAGGAGGCUCCUCUACCUCAACCUGCAAACACCCAUGUGGAGUUCAAGAAGUCAAGCCUCCCUGACCAUAGGAAGAAGCCUAAGACCUUGUUUAUCCCUUCUCGUUUCAUGCAGGAGAGUAAGCAGGAGCUUUGCCAUAGAGUUUUGAAACUUGAGAAGGAAAAUAACGAUCUAAGGGAGCAAAACAUUUUGCUCAAGUGGAAAUUAGACAAGCUCAAGACUACUCCAACAACACCACCAUCACCGCCAAAGGAAGACAACUAAACAUUGGUAUGGGAAAUCCCCUUGGCUUCUGCCAAGCUUGGGGGAGUUGCCCUGGUAUCGCAUCACCUUUAUAUCUUUUGCUUUUACCUUUGUUUUAGUUCUUCCCUUUUCUGUUUUUAUUUCUUCUUUUAGAGGAAUAAGUCUUUAGUUUUUAGUUUGAGUCUUUUGCUUUUGUCUCUCCCCUGAUGUAUUCGAGCUUACGAGCUAUAUAAUAAAGAGUGUCUUAGUCAAGGGCUUUGCUUUGUGCCAUGAUCAAAAAGUAUGAAAAGAACGAUAGCAUGAAAGAUCAUGAGACGAUCUUAUGGAAAGGGAUAACUUCACUUAUGACACGUAUGAUGAUUGAAACUUGUUGAGAAUAAAUCAACAUAGACCUCAGUCAUUGUUGCAAUUAAUAAGAAGUAAUAAGAAAAGAUAGGUUCACAUAUAAAUAUAUCAUCUUAGACAUUUUUUACAAUUGUGAGCACUCACCAAACUAUUACAUGCCUAGGAGUAGAUGUUGGACAAGGAAGACAACAUAAUGAAUUGUGUUUGCUUGGUUCCAAACAAUGUUAUAUGAUUAGAGAUCCCUUAGCAUGUGACGAUUGCUUCCACCUCAUAUUAGCCAAAACUCCCGCACCAAGUAGAGAUACUACUUGUGCAUCCAUAAACCUUCAACCCAUUUUUGCCAUGAGAGUCCACCAUACCUACCUAUGGAUUGAAUAAGAUCCUUCAAGUAAGUUGCCAUCGGUGCAAGCAAUAAAAAUUGCUCCCUAAUAUGUAUGAUCUAUUAGUGUGUGGAAAAUAAGCUUUGUACGAACCUGUGAUGAGGAAGACAUAAAAGAGACAGACUGCAUAAUAAAGUUCUUUGUCACAGGAGGCAAUAUAAAGUGACGUUCCUCCGCACUAAGAGGACACGCAUUCAAACCUCAAAAGCGCAUGACAAGCUCUGCUUCCCUCUGCGAAGGGCCUAUCUUGUACCUUUACUUUUUACCUUUGUAAGAGUCAUGGUGAUCAUCACCAAUUCCCUUUUUGCCUUUGUCUUGGCUACCGUCACAUGCUUGGGAAAGAUCUAUAUUCAUAUAUCAACUUGGACUCGAGUACUUAUGCUUUAUUGUUGUUGACUUUACCCUUGAGGUAAAUGGUUGGGAGGCAAAACUAUAAGCCCCUAUCUUCCUCUAUGUCCAGCUGAAACUUUGACACCAUGAGUACCACGUGGGCUGUAACAAUUGUGGAAAACAAAAGAGAUGAGUGAGUAUGUGGGUUUGCCUUACAAGCUCUUAUUUGACUCUUUCUGAUGUUGUGAUAAAUUGCAAUGGCUUCAAUGACUAUGGACUAUUGUUGGUUACUUCUCGGUAAGGUUUUUGCUUCAUGCUUUGCUUUGUGAAGGAAUUGGUGCUUUCCCAUAAGAAUCUUUAUGAUGUAUUGCUGUUCUAUGUGUGAUGAUGAUGCCCUCAUGUCCGUAUUACGUUUUAUCGACACCUUCGUCCCUCAAUAUGUGGACAUGUUUAUGGAACUUGGUUUUUGCUUGAGGACAAGCGAGGUCUAAGCUUGGGGGAGUUGAUACGUCCAUUUUGCAUCAUGCUUUCAUGUUGAUAUUUAUUGCUUUUUGAGCUGUUAUAUUACUUGUGGUACCAUAUUUAUUCCUUUUCUCUCUUAUUUUGCAAGGAUUAUUUGAAGAGGGAGAAUUCUGGACUGGAAAAGGAGCAAAUCCUAGUCCACUAUUCUGCACAUCUCCAAAUGCCCUGAAAAUUUACGUGGAUUUCUUAUGGAAUAUAUUAAAAAUACUGGGCGGAAGAACUACCGGAGGGGGGCCACCAGGGCCCCACAAGCCCCCACUCUUCCACCACCCCCUGGUGGCGAUGGGCAAGCUUGUGGGCUGCCUGAAGGCCCACUAGCCCCGCUCUUUUUCUAUAUGAAGCGUCCUGGUCUGGAAAAAAUCAUAAGGGAGCUUUUUCGUGGUUUCGCCGCCGCCACGAGGCGGAACUUGAGCAGAUCCAAUCUAGAGCUCCGGUAGGACGAUCCUGCCGGGGAAACUUCCCUCCCGGAGGGGGAAUUCGUCGCCAUCGUCAUCACCAACACUCCUGUCGUCGGAGGGGAGGCAUCUUCAUCAACAUCUUCAUCAGCACCAUCUGCUCUCCAAUCCCUAGUUCAUCUUUUGUAACCAAUCUUCGUCUCGCAACUCCAAUUGGUACUUGUAAGGUUGCUAGUAGUGUUGAUUACUCUUUGUAGUUGAUGCUAGUUGGAUUAUUUGGUGGAAGAGUUUACGUUCAGACCCUUGAUUCUAUUCAUUACACCUCUGGUCAUGAUUAUUAUUAUGUCUUGUGAGUAGUUACUUUUGUUCGUGAGGACAUGGGAUAAGUCAUGCUGAUAAUAGUCAUGUGAAUUUGAUAUUCGUUCGGUAUUUUGAUAUGUUGUAUGUUGUUUUUCCUCUAGUGGUGUUAUGUGAACGUCGACUACAUAACACUUCACCAUAUUUGGGCCUAGAGGAAGGCAUUGGGAACUAGUAAGUAGAUUAUGGGUUGCUGGAGUGACAGAAGCUUAAACCCCAGUCUAUGCGUUGCUUCGUGAGGGGCUGAUUUGGAUCCACUAGUUUAAUGCUAUGGUUAGACUUUGUAUUAAUUCUUCUUUUGUAGUUGCGGAUGCUUGCGAGAGAGGUUAAUCAUAAGUGGGAUGCUUGUCCAAGUAAGGGCAAUACCCAAGUGCCGGUCCACCCACAUAUCAAACUAUCAAAGUAACGAACGUGAAUCAUAUGAACAUGAUGAAACUAGCAUGACAGAAAUUCCCGUGUGUCCUCGGGAGGGUUUUUCCUCCUAUAAGACUUUGUUCAGGCUUGUCCCUUGCUACAAAAGUGAUUGGGCCACUUGCUGCACCAUUUCUACUACUUGUUACUUGUUACUCUUUGCUUGCUACGUUUCACCUCGCUACACAAUCACUUGUUACCGCUACUUUCAGUGCUUGCAGUUAUUACCUUGCUGAAAUCCGUUUAUCAGAGCCUUCUGCUCCUCGUUGGGUUCGACACUCUUACUUAUCGAAAGGACUACGAUUGAUCCCCUAUACUUGUGGGUCAUCAAUAGGGCACCACGUAAUUCCAUUGAGAUGACACCGUAUGACCUAUGCUUUAGAGAAACCUAAGCUGUCAUAUUUAAAAGUUUGGGGUUGCGAUGCUGAUGUGAAAGAGUUUAAGGCUGAUAAGCUCGAACCCAAAGCGGAUAAAUGCAUCUUCAUAGGACACCCAAAUCAGUUGGGUAUACCUCCUAUCUGAGAUACAGAAGCAAAUAUGUUUGUUUCUAUAAAUGGGUCCUUUCUCGAGGAAAAGUUUCUCUCGAAAGAAUUGAGUGGGAGUUUUGGUGGAAACUUGAUGAGGUUAUGUGAACCAUCACUUCAACCAGUGUGUGUGGCAGGGCGGAGGAAGUUGUUAUUGUGGCACCUACACCAAUUGAAGUGGAAGCUAAUGAUAAUGAUCGUGAGACUUCAGAUCAAGUUUCUAGAAACCUCGUAGGUCGACAAGGUCACGUACUGCUGCUACAGAAUGGUAUAGUGACCCUAUCUUGAAGGUCAUGUUGUUGGAGAACAAUGAACCUACGAGCUAUGGAGAAGCGGUGGUGGGCUCGGAUUCCGACAAAUGGCUGGAGGCCAUGAAAUCCGAGAGAGGAUCCAUGUAGGAAAAACAAAGUAUAGACUUUGGAAGAACCACUUAAUGUUCAUAAGACUAUUAACUGUGAAUGGAUCUUUAAAAGGAAGACAGACGAUGAUGGUGAAAAGUCAGCAUUAAGAAAGCUUGACUUGUCGCAAAAGUGUUUUCAACAAAGUUCAAAGAGUUGACUACGAUGAGACUUUCUCACUCGUAUCGAUGCUGAAACUCGGUUGAAAUUAUGUUAGCAGUUGUUGCAUCAUUUUUGAAAUAUUGCAAAUAGGAUGUCAAAAUAUUGUUUCCUCGAUGGUUUCCUUGAGGAAAGGUUGUAUGUGAUACAACCAGAAGAUUUUAUCGAUCCUAAAGGGUGCUAACAAGUAUGCAAAGCUCGAGCGAUCCUUCUAUGGACUGGAGCAAGCAUCUCAGAGUUGGAAUAUACACUUUGAUGAGAUGAUCAAAGUUUUUGGUUCUAUACAAAGUUUAUGGGAAACUUGUAUUUCCAAAAGGUGAGUAGAACUAUAGAAUUUCUGAUGAAUGUGGUUGACAUACUGUUGAUCAAAAAAAUGUAGAAUUUAUGUAAAGCAUAAAGGGUUGUUUGAAAAUAGUUUUUCAAAGAAAACCUAGAUGUAGCUACUUGAGGGUUGAGCAUCAAGAUCUAUAAAGAUAGAUCAAAGUGCUUAAUGGAACUUUCAACGAAAUGCAUGCCUUGACAUGGUUUUGAAGGAGUUCAAAAUAGAUCAGCAAAGAAGGAGUUAUUGGCUAUGUUGUAAGGUGUAAAUUUUCAGUACGACUCGAAGCCCGACCACGGGAGAAAAAAGAGAAAGGAUGAAUGUCGUUCCCUAUGCAUCAGCCGUACGCUCUACAAGUAUGAUGUGUUGUGUACUGCACCUAAAGCGUGCCUUGCAAUGAGUCAGUCGUGGGGUACAAGAGUGAUCCAGGAAUGGAUCGCUGGGCAGCGUUCAAAGUUAUCCUUAGUAACUAAUGAACUAAGGAAUUUUUCUCAAUUUUGGAGGUGAUUGAAGAGUUCGUCGUAAACGAGUUACGUUGAUGCAAGCUUUGUCACUAAUCCGGAGUAGUAAACCGGAUUCGUAUAGUGGCGCAAUCAUUUGGAAUAGUUCCACAUGGGGCGUAGUAGCAUCUAUAGGAUGACGUAGAGAUUUGUAAAGCACACACGGAUCUGAAAGGUUCAGACCCGUUGACUAUAAACCUCUCUCACAAGCAAGACAUGAUCGAACCCUAGAACUGUAUGGGUGUUGAAUUCAUUGCAAUCACAUAGUGAUGUGAACUAGAUUAUUGACUCUAGUGCAAGUGGGAGACUGUUGGAAAUAUGCCCUAGAGGCAAUAAUAAACUGGUUAUUAUCAUAUUUCCUUGUUCAUGAUAAUCGUCUAUUGUUCAUGUUAUAAUUGUAUUAACAGGAAACAGUAAUACAUGUGUGAAUAAAUAGAUCACAAUGUGUCCCUAGCAAGCCUCUAGUUGGCUAGCUCGUUGAUCGAUAGGUGAUCAUGGUUUCCUGAUCAUGGACAUUGGAUGUCAUUGAUAACGGGAUCACAUCAUUAGGAGAAUGAUGUGAUGGACACGACCCAAUCAUAAGCAUAGCACUAGAUCGUGUUGUUCGUAUGCUAAAGCUUUUCUAAUGUCAAGUGUCUUUUCCUUCGACCGUAAGAUUGUGCAACUCCCGGAUACCGUAGGAGUGCUUUGGGUGUAUCAAACGUCACAACGUAACUGGGUGACUAUAAAGGUGCACUACGGGCAUCUCCGAAAGUGUUUGUUGGGUUGGUACGAAUCGAGAUCGGGAUUUGUCACUUUGUGUGACGGAGAGGUAUCUCUGGGCCUACUCGGUAGAACAUCAUCAUGAGCUCAAUGUGACUAAGGAGUUAGUCAUAGGAUGACGUGCUACGAAACGAGUAAAGAGACUUACCGGUAACGAGAUUGAACAAGGUAUAGGUAUACCGACGCUCGAAUCUCGGGCAAGUUCUAUACCGACAGACAAAGGGAAUUGUAUACGGGAUUGAUUGAAUCCUUGACAUCGUGGUUCAUCCGAUGAGAUCAUCGUGGAACAUGUGGGAGCCACCAUGGGUAUCCAGAUCCCGCUGAUGGUUAUUGGCCGGAGAGUGUCUGGGUCAUGUCUGCAUGCCUCCCGAACCCAUAGGGUCUACACACUUAAGGUUCGAUGACGCUAGGGUUAUAGGGAAUUGUUAUACAAGGUUGCCGAAGGUUGUUCGGAGUCCCGGAUGAGAUCCCAGAUGUCACAAGGAGCUCGGAAUGGUCUGGAGGUAAAGAUUGAUAUAUAGGAUGGAUGGGUUUGAUCGCCGGAAUUGUUUCGCGCGACACCGGUAAUAUACCGGGACCACCGAAAGGGUUUCGGGGGUACACCGGGAGGGGCCACCAGCCCAAAAGGUGGAAGGUAACCAACCCAGAUUGGGCUGGUGCGCCUCCCACCUAGGCCCAAGGCGCCACAAGAGAGGGAAGGGGGGGGGAGAAACCCUAGUGCAGAUGGGCCUAAGGCCCAUCUGUGGGCGCCACCCCCCUCUCCCUUGCCCUGGCCGCCACAACCAGCCCCAUCUAGGGCUGCCGCCCCCCUUUAGGGUGGGAAACCCUAAAGGGGGCGCCACCCUCCCUUCCCCCUACACUAUAGCGGGGGGUUUUGGACUUUGAGAACACGAUUUUCCAUCUCUCUCGGUGCAGCCCUAUCUCUCUUCUUCCUCCUCUCCCACGGUACUUCACAAACCCCUGCUGGGAGACCUCGUCUCUCCAUCGACACCACGCCGUCGUGCUGCCGGAGAUCUUCCCCAACCUCUCCCUCCUCCUUGUUGGAUCAAGGUGCAGGAGACGUCACCGGGCUUCACAUGUGUUGAACGCGGAGGUGCCGUGAUUCGGCACAAGAUCGGAAUCACACCGCGAUCUGAAUCGCCGCGAGUACGACUCCAUCAACCGCGUUCUUGUUGGAGUUAUGCCCUAGAGGCAAUAAUAAAUAUAGUUAUUAUUAUAAUUCCUGUAUCAAGAGAAUCGUUUAUUAUCCAUGCUAUAAUUGUAUUGAAUAAAGACUUAUAUACAUGUGUGGAUACAUAGACAAAACAUUGUCCCUAGCAAGCCUCUAGUUGGCUAGCCAGUUGAUCAACGAUAGUCAGUGUCUUCUGAUUAUGAACAAGGUGUUGUUGCUUGAUAACUGGAUCACGUCAUUAGGAGAAUCACGUGAUGGCCUAGACCCAAACUAAUAGACGUAGCAUGUUGAUCGUGUCAUUUUAUUGCUACUGUUUUCUGCGUGUCAAGUAUUUAUUCCUAUGACCAUGAGAUCAUAUAACUCACUGACACCGGAGGAAUGCCUUGUGUGUAUCAAACGUCGCAACGUAACUGGGUGACUAUAAAGAUGCUCUACAGGUAUCUCCGAAGGUGUUAGUUGAGUUAGUAUGGAUCAAGACUGGGAUUUGUCACUCCGUAUGACGGAGAGGUAUCUCGGGGCCCACUCGGUAAUACAACAUCACACACAAGCCUUGCAAGCAAUGUAACUUAGUGUAAGUUGCGGGAUCUUGUAUUACGGAACGAGUAAAGAGACUUGCCGGUAAACGAGGUUGAAAUAGGUAUACGGAUACUGACGAUCGAAUCUCGGGCAAGUAACAUACCGAAGGACAAAGGGAAUGACAUACGGGAUUAUAUGAAUCCUUGGCACUGAGGUUCAAACGAUAAGAUCUUCGUAGAAUAUGUAGGAUCCAAUAUGGGCAUCCAGGUCCCGCUAUUGGAUAUUGACCGAGGAGUCUCUCGGGUCAUGUCUACAUAGUUCUCGAACCCGCAGGGUCUGCACACUUAAGGUUCGACGUUGUUUUAUGCGUAUUUGAGUUAUAUGGUUGUUUUAUGUUGUUCGGAGUCCCGGAUGAGAUCACGGACGUCACGAGGGUUUCCGGAAUGGUCCGGAAAUGAAGAUUAAUAUAUAGGAUGACCUCAUUUGAUUACCGGAAGGUUUUCGGAGUUACCGGGAAUGUACCAGGAAUGACGAAUGGGUUUCGGGAGUUCACCGUGGGGGGGGGGGCAACCCACCCCGGGGAAGCCCAUAGGCAUUGGGGGUGCCGCACCAGCCCUUAGUGGGCUGGUGGGACAGCCCAAAAGAGCCCUAUGCGCAUUGGAAGAAAAAUCAAAGAGAAAAGGAAAAAAAAAGGAGGAGGUGGGAAAGGGAAGAAGGACUCCACCUUCCAAACCAAGUAGGACUCGGUUUGGGGGGGAGACCUUCCCCCUUGGCUCGGCCGAACCCCUUGGGGGUCCUUGGACCCCAAGGCAAGGCUCCCCCUCUCCCUCCUAUAUAUAGCGGGGUUUUAGGGCUGAUUUUAGACAACUUUUGCCACGGCAGCCCGACCACAUAUCUCCACGGUUUUACCUCUAGAUCGCGUUUCUACGGAGCUCGGGCGGAGCCCUGCUGAGACGAGAUCAUCACCAACCUCCGGAGCGCCGUCACGCUGCCGGAGAACUCUUCUACCUCUCCGUCUCUCUUGCUGGAUCAAGAAGGCCGAGAUCAUCAUCGAGCUGUACGUGUGCUGAACGCGGAGGUGCCGUCCGUUCGACACUAGAUCGUGGGACUGAUCGCGGGAUAGUUCGCGGGGCGGAUCGAGGGAGAUGAGGACGUUCCACUACAUCAACCGCGUUCACUAACGCUUCUGCUGUAUGGUCUACAAGGGUACGUAGAUCACACAUCCCCUCUCGUAGAUGGACAUCACCAUGAUAGGUCUUCGUGCGCGUAGGAAAUUUUUUGUUUCCCAUGCAAUGUUCCCCAACAGUUCUAGCAACGCUUCAGCUUAGCGAUCUUCAAAGGUAUCAAGAUGCACUCUCCCCUCUCUCGUUGCUGGUCUCUCCAUAGGAAGAUCUGAAUAUGGCGUUGGAAAAUUUUGAAUUUAUGCUACGUUCACCAACACGAGGAAGCGGGAGUGAUUUUUGCGGGAUCCGAGGAAUGUGUGGUGUCAGCAGCAGAGGCGCGUGGGUUGGGCGAAGCAACCUAGGCUUCGGCGCGUGGAGUAGGCGAAGUGGGCGAAGGGGGCGCAGUCGCCGAGGCGAAACUAUCGGGGUGUGACCGUUGCGAGCGAUUGGAGGAAGAGCGCGAGGCUGGUAGGCGCAUAGUGGCCGGUGUGGACCCGGGGGUUGGUGAAUUGUUAGGUGGCGAUGCGGAAGGUGGGGUGGGGGCCCAGGAUUGGGAUCCGGACCAGCAGGGAGGAGGGGCUCUUUUGCAUGGGGAUUUUCUGUGGCCGUAUGGGUUGUGUGGCCGGGGCUGGGGCGUGUGUAGGGAAAAAAUAAAUCGUCAAAGACACCAUGGCGUGAAACAAGGACGCGACAGUUUUCGAAAUCGUAGCAGCAGUAGCCUUUGUGCUCUAAUGGGUAUCCAAGAAAGACACAUCUAGUGGAGCGAGGAGAUAGUUUGUUGGUCAUGGUGGCGUAGAGGUUGGGGAAACACAGACAACCAAAAACCCGAAGAUGGUCGUACUGAGGGUGUUCACCAUGAAGGAGAUAGUAGGGGGUGAGAGGCAUGGUGGCGCGCGAGGGACGACGAUUGAGAAGAUAAGUGGUGGUGUGUAGGGCUUCGACCCAAAAGGGAGGAGUGAGGUUGGCUUGGAGAAGAAGCGUGCGAACGAUGUCGUUCAUGGUUCGAAUGAGGCAUUCAGAUUUUCCAUUUUGAGGCGAGGUGUGAGGGCAUGAGAACUGGUAGGCAAUGCCAUUGGACGAAAAGAAGGAUCGUAAGGAGUGGUUAAUGAAUUCGCCCUANNNNNNNNNNNNNNNNNNNNNNNNNNNNNNNNNNNNNNNNNNNNNNNNNNNNNNNNNNNNNNNNNNNNNNNNNNNNNNNNNNNNNNNNNNNNNNNNNNNNGCACACCCAACCAACCCAAGAAGAGGUGAAGACUGAAGAACUGUCAGCCGGCUUUAGCACACGGUGGGAGAUGUCAUGGGAACCACCAUGACAUUUCAAUCAGAUCCAUACAGUGCCUUCGUGUCUGCCCACCAUAUGAUGCACAUUCGCUUUGCCAACGCCUCAAGUAAUCAUUGAGAGAGAGACAUGAACGCAUAUCUUAAUUACCAGAUCCAUAUAUAUAUAUAUAUAUAUAUAAUAUAUAUAUAUAUAUAAACCAGCACUGGUGCUUAUUAUUAGUCGCCCUUGUUUUACACUUGGUACGGUCUCCUAUAUAUAGUUCUACUAUAUAGCGGCACAUGAAUCACAGAAACGGAGCGUAGGGAGGAGCAAAAAAAAGAAGAUGAGGAAUUACAGUGGUGAAUAAAUAAAUAAAAUUGAAAAUUACUGCAGUGCACAUGAAGCCAGCCAGUGUAGUCACUGCCUUCGGAGUGUGAAAGACAGCGCAUUUACCGGCAGAUCUACCUCGCAUUCUCACCGUCGUCCUCCUCACCACAGCAGGAGCCCAGAGAGCGCGAGCAGCAGCAGUGUAGUCGCCGCGGAGGACGACGAGACGGCCGGCGACGAGCUCUUGGCCGUGUGCUGGGGCGGCGGGCUAUAGUAGUAGAAGGGGAAGUAGGGCAGGAACGGGUUGGGCGGCGGCGGCGUCGGGUACGSSACCGGCCUCCGGCCUCCACCUUGUCCUCCUUGGCCGCCGCCGCCGCCUCCUCCGUACCCGCCGGU
rnacentral:lncRNA from 1 species